GCUACUAUCUAGAUCUACUCUAGUUUAGAGAUGAGAGGAGAGCUCUCAUCUCCAAACCCUAGCUUUUGCUCUGUCUAUGAAUAAUGAAUAAUGAUCAAGGGGUGCCUCCUCUAGGGGCCAGGGGGUCUGGUUAUAUAGUCCCCUCAAGUGAACCUGGGCCGUCGGAUCAAACCGACAUUGAUUGAACGGUUAUCCUUGAUCCUUUAGGUCGGUGGAGAGUAAUCCCCGAAGAGAGUCCUAUUUGGACUCCAAGUCAGGGCGGGCGCCCAAGGAAGGAGGGCGGGCACCCUUCCUCUGGGCCCUUUUGGCCUCUGCUUCCUUCCCGUGGCUUCUGGAGUCUUCUAGAUGAUAGAAAAUUGCGCGGCAUGUUAAUAUCUCUAUGUAAACCUGAUAUGUGGGCCUUUCCUUCAUAUUUCCCGAUAACCCCCUGCAGAAAUAGACAAACACCAAAACUCGUGGAAUUCUGUGAGAUAAAACCCUAUGUCUGGGUGUUGGUUGUAUUUGGAUCCUUUUCUUUGUUUAUUUGUUGAUUAUAUUUGGUACUUAAGGACCGUCAACAACUCUCCCAAGCUUACCUCUUGCUCGUCCUUGAGCAAGGAUGGACUCAAGAGUUUCUGCAGUGAUUUUAUGCUUUAAAGGUACACAUGCGUUCAAACAAGAUCUCGUCUCUAGGUUAAGGUAAAUUGUUAAGACUUAAACUUACUCAUAUUACCUUCCACCAUGGGGCUUGCAACUGUCACUUGUGUCUUGAGCAGUUAAAAGAUAGAAUGGUCAAGUCAAGCACCAUGUCUCUUGUUCUUUGAUCAACUAUAGCUCUGGAGUUUUUGUAAAUUUUCAAAUAAAACUCAGAGAUUCCUUUAUGACUCUCUCUAGUCUCUCUUUUUUGGUAUUUCUGGAUCCUUACCAAGGCAGUGAUGAUAUAUGCCUUCUCUCAAGGUAUGUGGUAUUUUUGGUAUGAGGCAUAGUGACAUUGCCUUCUCUCUCACCCUACUCUAAUAAGGUUUUGAUAUCUGGAGCUCAUAGGUGGGAGACAGCUGAUCAUACUUACAAGACAUUUAUUGCAUAGUCAAACCAUGGAUCUAGAGAAACAAGCCAAUAAGUCAAAUCAAGAUGUGCAUGUGUGGCGAAUGAAUGGUGUAUGGUGAUGAUGGUUAAAACAAUGGUGAAAGUCUAAUUCUACUUUUGCUCUUUUGAGGGGAUACAUACCUUUCUUGUACUUUGAAGCUUUUUGAGAAGAAUGAGAUGCUCUAUAUUUUCUUUUUCUUUUUUUUUCUUUCAGGUGGGUAUCUUGUGCCUCUAAUUCUACUAUCGGACACUUAUCCAUUUUUACCUCUCGUCACACUCUUUUUUUUCUUCGAGGUUCCGGGCACUUGCCCAUUUUUAUUUCCUCGUAUUUUUUUUCUCUUUUUUUCCGAGCACUCACCCUCCUAGAAUAAUGUAGCAAGUGGUAGUAACCAAAAUGUCAAGCGCAUUUAUUUCACAGGAAAUAACAGGGAUAGGAUAAUGUUUUUGGCUAUUCUCUCCCGGAUAGGAGUAGAAUAAUUUUGGGUGAAUCUGGAGAUGGAAAUGAAUGGAUGUAUGUAGAUGCGUACUUUCGGAGUAGAAGCAGCAUUUAUGAGUGAACGUGCAAGUGAAUCUUGAUUUUAACCGCCUGACAAGCUCCCAAGGGUCUACACAGCUUGACCACACUCAAUGCUAAUAAGCAGUAAAUGUAUGGUUUAUAGUCUAAUAAGCAUGUAUAUAUGGCUGUGGUAGGAUUUUAAACUCUCAUCAUACAGGAACUCAUCAUGCAACAUUUUAAAGAUUUUCAAAGAUAAAAUUCUCCAGAAUUCUAGCAUCUCUAGGAAUAGAUAAACAACAGCUCAACCUUCCCAUAUAAUAUCCGUUAACGACUUAGACUUUAGAUCAAGUACUCUUCCCACAAGUUCAGGUUUAGAGCAAAUCUUAAUUCAUAACAGUCAUGCCUAAACUUGAGAGAGAUUUCAAUUUUGAGAACUAGUCAUGACAGAGCAACUAUUCAUCAUUUCCAUGUGAGAGCUUAUCAUGAGGGUUCAUAGCAAACUUUAUUCAUUUAUUUAUUUAGCAAACUAAGCAAAGAUAUAUAUAUAAGCACAAAAUCUUUAUUUGAGUUUCUAUGAUUAUGCAUCUUUUUAUUAUUUGAGUAAAGUAUAAACGCGAGUAGAAACACUUAGCUGGAUAAAUGGGGGUGCUCUCCCCCAAGCUGGAUUUUGACGUAAUUUCUUCUGAUGUAGCUAGCAGGUGGCGAAGGUGUAUUUGAAUGUCGGUAGCACCCUGACAGCGAUUAGGAUGUCCUCCGUCUGCUAGUCUUCUUUGAUCCUUGAAUUCUGUGGAGCUCAAAUAGACAACAAAGCUUUGUGGAACUAGUUAAGUGUUAGCAUAAAUAUCUAGCCUUUAUCAUGUUGAGCCUCCUUAAUAAAUGUUACUCUCUUUAGUAGGAUCAUAAUCUUAUUUUUAUAUUUUCAUUUUUAUAGGACAGAAAUAUAUUUAUUUUUAUGCCACCACAGUAAAUGUACUUAUGGGUUUUAUGCCACGAGCAUACUCACAUGGGGCUUACAAUUUUAUGAUGCAGUGCAAUAAACAAAUAUUUUUGUUUUCUUUUCUAAUGCUAAUGUAGAAAAGUAAAUAUGCUAAUGCAAGUGAUGGAAUAAAAAAGGAAAAGGAAUGCAGAAAAGAUAAAUAUGGAUAAAUACCGAUUUUACCUUCCGACAAGGAUCCAAUGUUUUAAGUCUUCUGGACAAGACUUCUCACCGUGUUCAUUCUUUGGGUGCGCCAUUUGAUUCAGGUGUGGACCUUGAUGUUUGCACCUCUUGAUACAGUGUCACCCAUGUUCUUCGUUUGCCCAGCAGUUCAAAGUGCGACGUUGGCAGUAUCUUGCUCAGUGUGUUUGUGCUCGUAGAUCCAAGUCCUUCACUUGGUAUCGUCUGGGAGUUGAAAAAUCCUCCAAGUUUCUCACAAUGUGUCCUGCUCAUAAAGACAAGGCAGAGAUCAAGUGCAUGGGUCCUAUUGGUGGAAAACACCAACAGAACCAAAAGUAUAUUUAUUCUUCUCUAACCUUAAGCAUAGUGAGCAAGACAAAGUUGAUGGAUGAUAAGUUCAUGAGUGUAGCACUUAUAACAUUUGUCAGAUCAGAUCGCUCAACCUUAUGGAAAGAUAAUCUAUGUAUGUAUAUGUCUUUUCCUUUAUAUCUUCCCAAAGAUUAAAUGUGCAACAUUUUAGCUCAUAUGAUUAGGAGUGUAGGAUCAUGGAGGUAGUACUAGGAACAAAGAUUAAAGGACUAAACAUGCUGAAUCAGUUGGGUUGGUUAAUUUGGAGUUAUAAAUCAUAUAUGUUUGUCUCUUUAUUUCAUGUGAACACUAGAACCAAGGAGAAGAUUAUAAAAGUGAUAGUCAAGUACCUUAAGAUGUUACCUUACUUGAAGAGUGAUGGUACAGUAUCACCUUGUGGAAGCUUUUCUUUCUUAGCGGUUGUGUAUCGUGUUUGUGGAACCCUCCAUGGAUCAUCUCUUAUGAGCUAUGUCUUCCUUGUGUAAAUUGUUAAACUUGAUGUGUCUCUCUCUUCGUCUCCAAUGUGAGUUUAUCUCAGGACUUCCCAGAUUGAUAUUGAAAGUUUUCCUGCAGGGCUUAGUUCGACAAAAUAAACCAAUAUCUACUCAAGCAGUUUUUAGUUCAAUAACCAAACUAGACUCCAUGUCUAAUCAAAUUAAGGAAGGUUGUCUAACCUAAGCUCCAUGCUUAAUUUAAAUGCCAAUGGAAGUAUGGCGAGUACUUCCAAACCAACACUUGCUAGUAAAUAGACAAAGGUAGCAUGACAGCAUUUAUAGAGAUCUAUUCAAGUGGAGAUGAAGUAGUGUGAUUAGUAUUUAACAAAUUGAGCAUGUCUCAAAGGUAGGGACAACCAACAUAGCAACAUGGCAAAUGAUGUUUUUAUGUAAAGUACUCCCCCAAGCUUGAAUUUUGCAAAAUUCAAGUUUGGAUGAAUUUAAUUCAAUGUUGUAUGAUGAUCGGUUGGACAUACCUUGUGCUUGUCAUUCAUCCGAUCUUCUUGCUCCUAUCCUAGAAAGGUUAGUGACAAGAAUACCCGAAGGAAUAUUUUUACAAUUUUCCUUAUAUGCUCAAUACACAAGGUGAUAUUGCAAAUAAUUAAAAGCUUAUGUUACGAUCUGAUUAGUGCUUAUUUUAGGACACCAAGCUUGUCCUUGGGAAACCAUCAAUUUAUGUCGGCGAAGUGGUUUCCCUUCCAACGCUGACCUAUAUCAAGAUCAACUCAAUGAGAUCUGCAAUAUUUAUUAUAGACAUAUGCAUCGACAACUGCCCUUUUAAAGUUUUUAUAAAUAGAAAGGAAGAGGGGGUUGGAGAUCUGAAAUGUGGUGAUGUUGGAGAGACCAAUAGAUUGGGAAGAUGUUGCAUAUGAGCAUGGAACAAUCGAAGUGGCUAUGAAAUAAAUUCCAUGCUCAUUAAUGUUAUCUUCGUCUCCAAUCUGAAUGUUCGGAGUUUCUCCUGGAUUGGUCUCACCUAUGUCCUCUUCUAUAGUUGGAUGAAUCUCAUCUUCAAAGGGAGUCAAGAACUCACCAUUUGAAAUUGAGCCAAAGUCAGAAUCCAUUAAGGCUUCUUCCUUAUCCAUCCAUUCUACACAUUCUAGCCAUUUAGAACUUGUGAUCAGGAAACGGGAGGUGUUAGAAUUUUCUAUAUGGCUUAGCUCUCCUUCUAUGACAUUACUUGACAUGUCAUCCUCAUGGUCUUUAUGACUCCUAUGGUUUGAUCGUCUUGAUGGAUUGCUAGGAUCAUCAUGAGACUGAAAAGGAGAGGGAUAAGAGGAGUCUCUAAGGUCAAGGAUGGAUUUAGAAUUUGUGAACACGGAAGGGGAGCAGAUAGAAUCUUCUAUAUGGUUUAGCUCUCCUUCACUUGAUAUGUCAUCCUCGACUUCUUCAUAAUAGGAACCAGGACAUUCUCUAAGAGAACCAUUAUUGCAUGGAUUUGAAUUAUCCCUGCUUGAAGGUCUCUUAUGGAACCAGAAGUCUAAACCAUCAGUAUCUGAAAGAUUUAAGGUCGGAAUUCCUUCCUCCCUUGGAGAAAUUUGGGGUAUUGAUGCUUUAGGAUAGAUAGCUAAAGUUUGGGAUUGAAGUGGUUGUGAUCUGGCUAUCGAAACUUCUUCUUCUUGUCUAGGAACUGGUUCUUUCUCUUUCUCAGGGAUAUAAAAGCUAGGAGACUUUCCGCUCAUUAAAUCAAUCAAAUUCCAAGCUUCACUAGCAGAUAGGUGGUGGAAAGAUCCUCUAGAGGCCGCAUGAAGGGUUUUCUUACUUUUCCUACUAAGGCCCUCAAAAAAGUGAAUUAGAAGAACUUCUUUUGGAAUAGAAAGCUUUGGGCGAGUGAGAGUAAGGUUAAUAAAGCGGUCCCAUGAUUUGCCAAUAGAUUCUUCUUCUAGUUGUCUAAAAGAAAGAAUCUCACGCCGAAGUUCCACCACUUUGGAGAUUGGAAAAUAUUUAGAAAGAAAACUAUUAUGUAACUCCUUCCAAUCUCCAUGAACACUCCCUACUUUGAGUUUAUACCAAUGUCUAGCUUUUCCUAUUAAAGAGAACGGAAAGAGCUUCCAUUUAAGGGUCUCAUCGGACAUGCCUUCAAUGCGAAGGAGGUCACAGACUCAAUAAAACUCUCUUAGGUGUGUGUAUGGGUUUUCCUCACCUUCUCCUAAGAAAGGUUGUUUUUGGACAAAUUCUAUGUAUUCGGGGUCUAUCUCAAAACUAGAUGCUAUGAUAGGCUUUGAAGAUUUUGGUGGUUCGAGAUGUGUGCCCGUAGGUCUAUGGAAUUCAUAGAUAGACAUGUUUGAAUUCAUGAUAGACUAGAGAUCAAGGAUUAGAUAAGAAGAAAGAAUAGUAGAGAUAAGGCAAAGGAUAAAAGGAAAAUAUUUUUUUAUUUUUAUUAUUUUUAGAAAAUGAUUAAGCUAGUUCGUAGUCAACUCAGCAACCGUCUCCCCGGCAACGGCGCCAAAAAUGCUUGUUGACACUUGCUAACACCACUUGAAUACUAGGUUGUCAUCCCCAGCAUGACACUAGAGUGUACUAUGGUAUUUAUACGCACACAGAUAAUCCGCAAGCACACGGAUACCGUUAUAGCUUUUACCCAGUCAAAGGUUUUAUCGUAUCCACAGGGAAACGGGGGAACCAACUACGCUCUAACUUAACCAAGAUAGAUAGAUAAGUGUAAUUAGGAAAGAUAGUAGAAUCGAAUAAGAACAAUAUUAAACAGUGAGUGAUAAUAUGGGAAUAGAGAGUAGAGCAAUCUAAUAUAUGGGCGAUGGUAGCAGAAUAGAGAGGAUAACUAUGGUUUCUCUACUUCAAAGGGAUAUGUGUAUGUCUGGGACAAACCACGUGAUAAUAUUACACCACAAAGGAUGCUUAUCCAUAGGCCGAUAAACCCUACCCGUCCUGCUAACGAGAGGAACCGGACUACAGAGGACCAACGUAACUGUCACCUACGCGGCCUACCACACGAUCCAGCUAGACAGGGGAUAUCCACAAGUAAUCUAGGUCUAAGCACCAUGCUUACACCUAUACUACAACUCUAACCUAUAGGGUCCUAUAGAUUAGAAGUACUCAAAAGAGUUGUGAACCAGAACAUACAUGAUUAGUAAUUGCAUAAUGAAUUAGAAGUAGAUUACCAGAGUCAUCCCAUGAGCAAGCUUGAUUAGAGCCUGAUCAUGGCGAAGUACAACCGGAGGAAGAACCGAUAGGCCGGCCUCUCCUCUAAUCCUCCUUCGCUCUCCAUCUUGCUACUAUCUAGAUCUACUCUAGUUUAGAGAUGAGAGGAGAGCUCUCAUCUCCAAACCCUAGCUUUUGCUCUGUCUAUGAAUAAUGAAUAAUGAUCAAGGGGUGCCUCCUCUAGGGGCCAGGGGGUCUGGUUAUAUAGUCCCCUCAAGUGAACCUGGGCCGUCGGAUCAAACCGACAUUGAUUGAACGGUUAUCCUUGAUCCUUUAGGUCGGUGGAGAGUAAUCCCCGAAGAGAGUCCUGUUUGGACUCCAAGUCAGGGCGGGCGCCCAAGGAAGGAGGGCGGGCGCCUUGCCUCUGGGCCCUUUUGGCCUCUGCUUCCUUCCCGUGGCUUCUGGAGUCUUCUAGAUGAUAGAAAAUUGCGCGGCACGUUAAUAUCUCUAUGUAAACCCGACAUGUGGGCCUUUCAUUCAUAUUUCCUAAUAACCCCCUGCAGAAAUAGACAAACACCAAAACUCGUAGAAUUCUGUCAGAUAAAACCCUAAGUCUGGGUGUUGGUUGUAUUUGGAUGCUUUUCUUUGUUUAUUUGUUGAUUAUAUUUGGUACUUAAGGACCGUCAACAGUCUCCGAAGGUGCAAAAAAUUCAAUAAUAGGUGUGGAAUUUGAGUUAUCCAUAAAGAUGGAAAAAAUAAAAAGAUAAAAGAAUAAAAGUAUAAAAGGAUAAUACAAGAUAAUAGCAAGACUUAAAGUUAUCUCAGCAAACCGUCUUUCUCCCGAGGUUCACGUGCUUGCCGGCACGCUACGUCCUCGUUGUGUCGACCAACACUUGGUGGUUCGGUGGCUAAGAGGUGUAGCACAAACCUUGUUCUCACUAGGACACCACAAGAACCUACCCACAAGUGAGGUAACUCAAUGACACGAGCACUUUACUAGAGUUACCUUUUGGCUCUCCGCCGGGGAAGGUACAAGACCCCUCAGAAUCACCGAGAGAUGGCCACGAACAAUCACCAACUCGUACCAAAGCUCCUCCACUGCUCCAAGCUGUCUAGGUGGCGGCAACCUCCAAGAGUAACAAGAAAACCGCAGCUAGAACGAUCCCCAAGUGCCACUACAUGCAAUCACUCAAGCAAAUGCACUUGGAAUCACUCCCAAUCUCACAAAGAUGUUUAAUCUAUGAAGGAGAUGAGUGGGAGGUGUUUGCUUAGGCUCACAAGGAUGUUUAGUAGUCAAGAAUGCCAAGAGAGUGAGCCCUAAGCCAGCCAAACAUGUAUUUAUAGACCCCUCAACAAAUAGAGCCGUUGGCUCUCUCACUGGAUGCUCAGCCCCUGCGUCCGGUGCUCCAACGUCAGCCAUGUGUCGCCUUUUGAAACUCUCGUGUUAGAGUCUAACAGUCACCUGCAGUGUGUUGACAUUUGGUAACGCCAUCAGGAAAUGAUCCGCAAGUGCACGAAUAUCGGUGACCACUUCACCUGGGAGGUUAUCCAGAGUAUCGUAUUUAUAUUUUUACCACUGGGAAAAAGCGUGCAUCUGACUAACCAAAUCUAUUGCUACUACCCUUUAGGCUACAAAGAAUGUUUCUCGAUGUGAGCGAAGUAUAGAGAAGACUGCAACCGUAGUCUCGUUCUAACCUUGGUAAGGAUGAUCUACUGUUCUAUUGGGGAAGCUUUCGGAAUCUAGACACCACAAAGGAUGUUCAACCCGCACCUAUAAACCCUAUCCUUCCUGCUAACGAGAUAUGGGCUUCAAAGGUAACUCGAAAAUGUCACGUUCCCCGCUACUACCACGGUCCAGCUAGUCAGGGGAUAUCUAUGAGUACCCUAGCCCAAACACCACGUUUACACUAGCAAUGAUUACUCUAAACUCAACCAGAAGAGAUUAAAGUAAACUCAUAAACCAAAGAACAAUAAAACAAGAACUUACUAGAAUUUAGAAGUCGAAUUACUGAAGAAUCCUAGGAGCAAGCCUCGGGUUAGGAGACUUGAUCCCGCAGGUACAACCUCAGAGUAGACACCGACAGGCCAGGCUUCCUCCGAUCUACACCUCCACUCUAUCUCUCUCAAUCUAGUAGAAACUAGAAGAUCUAAUUCUACUCACAUUGGAUGCUAAGCCUAAAAGAAAUUUUAUUUAGAGGAGAGGUUAUCCUUCGAGGGCCAGGGGGUAACUCUACGAUGAACUUGUUCUCCUCCAGGGGCCAGGGGGUCUGGUUAUAUAGUCCCUCCAAGUGAAUAUGGGCCGUCGGAUCAAACAGACAUUGAUUGAACGGUUAUCCUUGAUCCUUUAGGUCGGUGGAGCGUAAUCCCCGAAGAGAGUCCUGAUUGGACUUUGGGACAGGGCGGGCGCCCUGCCCCCAGGCCCGUUCGCCUUCCCGUUCGUUCCUGUGGCUUCUGGAGUCUUCGAGAUGAUAGAAAAUUGCGUGGCACGUUAAUAUCUCUAUGUAAACCCGACGUGUGGGCCUUUCUUCCUUAUUUCCUGAUAACCCCCUGCAGAAAUAGACAAACAACAAAACUCAUGGAAUUCUGUCAGAUAAAACCCUAAGUCUGGGUGCUGGUUGUAUUCGGAUCCUUUUAUUUAUUUAUUUGAUGAUUAUAUUUGGUACUUAAGGACCGUCUACACAGUGCACCGGACACUGAGCAAGUUGGCAUCGAACACGUCCGGUGCACACUGGUCUUAAACACAGAAAGGUCUGCAAAGCGUGCAGGUCACCGGACGCACACCACCGGACGCUCCAAGCUACGUCCGGUGCUCACCGGACUUAAACUCAGAGAGCUCUGCAAAACGCUCAAGUCACCGGACUCACACCACCGGACGCUCCAAACUGCGUCUGGUGUGUAGGAUCUCCUGGAAGUAAAAGAGGCCUAGAGGGGGGUGAAUAGGCCUGUUAAAAAUUAAUUCAAAACUUUGAUAGCUCAGAGGGCGGCACUGCCGGCCUACAAAUAAAAUACCCACGGUGAUAAAACUUUGCAGGAAGUUAACUUAGGUAUAGAAGAGUCCAAUCCUGCAAAACAAGGAAAAGAUCCAGUACGAAGACUAGAUACCACAGAAAAGUCUCACAAGACUAGAUCGGGUUACCAAACCCUAGAAGAGUAUAACUUUGAGAAAUAAUCUGCAAGAAGCACACAAGACUCAGAGAUUUAUCCCGUGGUUCAGCUCACCACAAAGGCUUACCUAGGUCCACAUUGUUGAGGAAGCCACAAAAGGCUUAGGCUUGCCACAAAGGCUUGCCCUACCCUUGUUCUCAAGUCAAGAGAGUAAACUCUUGAAGUGAGGGGUAAUUUCUUAGCUACAAAAACUAGUUUACGAACCUCCCAAGGCUGCCACACAGGUGGGCAAGCUCAUGGGCGACGCCUAGCCGGCUAGGAGCAAGCUCCAAGAGUAAUAAACCCUAGAACCGCCGACCAAACGUGGACCAAAUGCUCUUAGACUUUUGGACGCAGUGGAUCUACUCUCCAAUCGAGUUUUGCUGCCUUUUCUCUCAAGGAUUGAUGGUUGAAAUCAAAGAUUGCUUGAGGGAUGGAGAGCAACAACGGAGGAGAGAGAGAGAGCUCUGGUCUGUUUGAGCAAGAGAUAAGUCGUCUGAGGUCCAAGAUGACCGUUGUGAGGAGCGUCCAGAGGUAUAUACCUCCCCUGGGUCCCAACGGUCAAAAGGGCGGCACUGCCGCCCUGGCCAGAGCAGGUUAAGAAGAAAACUGUUUUACAUUCUGCUUUGGCUGAGAAUGAGGAAGUUGUUUUGAGAAGAUGAGCAUCUCGUUGCAUAGUUGAUCAACAAUUCUAGAAUUCCCCUUUAUAGUACGGCUUUUCCUAAACUCAAAGAAAGAAUAUAAAACGAAGUAACACGUCCUUGAGUUUGGAUCAGCUCAAACAUGUUUUUAGAAUACCAGCAACCUGUACAUCACUUCUAUAGUUUUGAUCCCCUGCUCAUUAACUCGAUAAAACUUGUUAGUCCUCUAAUUUUGUUGUCAUUAACACCAAAACCCACAAUAGGGCUUGAUUGCACUUACAAUCUCCCCCUUUUUGGUGAUUGAUGACAACCUAAAUAUAGCUUUCAACAAUAUAAACAAAAAUUAAGAUUUUUGAGCUAGGUAUGUAGGGGCCUCCCCCUGAAGAUGAAAAUGAGGAUUGAAUCCUAAGAGCUUGCUUUAUGAUGCAAGGUCUUACAUCUUCAGGUAGGAGGGCCUCCCACUACAUCUAUGUCUGCUGUGGGGUGAUGUGCAAAGUGUCACAAGACAAGACGUGAAGCACAGACAGUUAAACAACAAAGCUGCUUGGCUGCUGAGGCAUAGGGCGGCACUGCUGGCCUAUUACCCAAUAGUCAGACAACAAUCAGAAAAACACAACAGAAACUAGAGUGAGAAACAACACAGUGAACUAAAACAAAAUAAUAGAACUGCUGGUCUUAAACACAUGUCCACAUCCAAAGCAAAUAGUGAGAUAAGGUCGCGAUAAUACAUAAAGUAGAGUUUUUUCAACUAUUCUCUCUCACAAGCUAAAAGACUACUCUCAAAAGAUAAGACAAGAAGCGCAGCUAGAUCUCGAAAAUUAAUUUGACCCCUCUAAUUUUCUCCCCCUUUGGCGUCAAGCACCAAAAAGAGAAGAGAAAAGAAGAGAAAUCACUCGUCGUCGCUGUCGGAGUCAACUCUAGCCCGUCCCUAAACGUGAGUGGUCGAGGUGAAGCGUCCUGAACGGCGAGGUGGAGCUGACGAAGAAGGCCCUGCUGCCUCUGAAGGGUCACGAGGGCGACGAGAGUAGACACGCAGCAAGGUCUCCUGAACCUAUGGAUCUUCCUCUGCUGCCCGGAUCCUCUCAUCAUCACUAUCAUCACCAUCAGGCUGCUCAAAGUGCUGCUCCUGUGUAUCUCCAUGGGGCUGCUCAUCCUCAGAAGAUGUGUCUGACAGACUAGGUAGGUUAGGAAAUUGAGGAGGAGGCCUAACUGGUGCAAGAGGGGGAAGACCAGCCAACUCCCUAGCUGCCCUAACUGCCUCUCUAUUCUCCAAACGAUCCUCAUAAGCAGUGUUUGCAGCAUAGGUGCAUGUAGCGAAAAUAGCCUUAAUCCAUUCACUCAUCAUUCCCAGCUUCUUGCUCUUCUUUUUCCUGCCACUCCUAGAGGACUCAGGAACAUCUCUGUGAGCAAAGAAAGUCUCUCUAGUGGGUGAACCAGCUGCUGCCCCGCUGCUACCCUUGCCCCCAUGUGUCUUCUUUAUGUUGUAGAUACCAUGAAAGCAGUCCUUGGGGAAUCUCUGUCCUGAAACCCUCUCAAUCAUGAACAUCAGGUAAGGUGCAUAUGGCAGCGACCUUCUUCCAUCAUCCAUGGCAUAGGCCAACUCAACCCAAAUAAAUCUCCCUACAUUGAAUCUCUCACCAUCUGGGAAUCUAGACAACACAUUAGUGAUAUAUCCAUUUAGAUCAGUUACAUUGUCCUUAGGAUUGAGAGUGAUUCUAAACAGGUUGUUCAUGGUGUAAUAAAUGGCCUUUAACCCUGUCAUUCUCCCAUCAGCCUUGCUAGGAUCUUCCCACAUAAAGCUCACCUCAUGUGGAUCAAGGCGACGCACAUCAUGGAUCCUACUGAAGGAUCUGUGAAUCUGUCCAAAACCAAGAAUACGACAAAAGGUGACAAAAUCAAUGCGAUAAUGCCUACCAUCUGUCAUCCAGUGGAUCUCAUCCUCAUCCUUGUUCCAGAAAUAUGUUGCAUGAAACUGUGCAAGUAUUUCUCUAUUCCAAUCAUAUCUGAAACUCAUGAUAUCAGUCAACUGAAAUCUGUCACAUGUCUUUAUGGCAGUAGCAAAUUCAUUUCUAUGUUGCAGCUCAUUGAAAUCAACUUACUGCAUCUUGUAGAUUUUGCCCCUUGGCUUUUCAUGAUGGCUGUGGCAUAGAAGUUGGAGUGGAAGACAUUCCAAAAUCUGUAAUCAACCCCCAAAAGCUUAUCUGCAGCAUAGGGAUCAAUCUCUCUGGCAUCACCAGUAGCCUUCCAACUCCUCCCAUAGUCAACCACUACAUGUCUCACAUUAUUAUGAGGCUCUGUGAGAACAAACUCAUGCUCAUUGUCUCUCAUAUAGCUGUCAUCAAACUCCAUGAGGUGAUUUGGUGUGCCAUGCAUAAUUGGAAUGGUGUAUCCAAUCCUUUGAUUCAUUUCCUCCUCAGCCACAUAUUGAUCAUGUGUUGCUCUAUCAGUGGCUCGAGGUGCUGCACCACUGCCUCCAGUUGUCCUCCCCCUGCCUCUGCGAGCCAAUUGUUUCGUCAACACUUUCCUCUUUCCUCUAGCAUCAUCUCCUCGAUCCAUUAGGCAAAUAAGUAAUAGGACUGGGUAAGAAACUGUUUAAAUAUGUUGUAAAGAUAGCUGCAACAGGUUUUAAUUAGAAGAAGAAGAUUGGAUAUGAAGUGAAAAGCCAGCUAUUUUGAAUCAGCUUGGAAGGGGCGGCACUGCCGCCCUCAGUGGCUUCACUACCACAUCUCAAAUCUUUCUCAUUCUAAUUAAAUCCUUGUUUCAACAACCUCUACUACACAUCACAAUUUCAGAAACACAGUUCUAUCCAACAAUAAGUGAGACCCUAACUAGAGACUUGGUGGAGUAAGUAUGGGAUAUUUUGUACAACACUUUGUAAGAAUAAAUCCAAUUCAUUUGAGAGUUCUAUUGCCAGAGAGAACUCAAGUCAGCAGGUUAAAUCUGCUGGGGGCGGCACUGCCGCCCUACCCGAGUUCCCCCAAACAGUGAACUUCCAAAUCAACUCGAUUUACUUCCACAAAACAUUCCCAAAACCUUCAUACUUCCCUCAGAAAAUCAAAUCUCUAGCCAGAGCAUCACAUUCCAUGGAUUGAAGGAGUUAGGGUUAGGUUUUUACCUUACGCGUUGAAUGAAGAGGAAAGAAGAGCAAUGCCCAAAGCUUGAGCGGGGGGGGGCAGUCACCAGCAACGAGAGGAGAGGCUGGGAACUCGCCAAGGACCGUGGAGAUAACGGCUAUGAGCACUUGCACCUUGCCCUAAUCCUAGAGGAGAGGAGAGGAAGAAGGGAGGUGUUGUGCGCGACUGAGAGAGAAAGGAAAGAGGAGGGGCGGAGCCAGAGAGAAAAAAGGUAGAGGGAGAUGGGCCCCGCGCCUCUACCAAAUUGGACUCGAAUCCGCUGUGGAUUCAAAGGGCGGCACUGCCGCCCUGCCCAACUUGCAGGGUUACAGCUAAAACCUUUUCCUGUUCUUUACUUUAGAUAAGGACAUGUUAAUCUCUAAAUAUUAUGAUCAGCAAACAAUCAACAAUACAUACUAUGAUCAUAAUACUAAGAGACAUUUUGUAAACGUUUUUGAAAGACUUGUGAAUCGAUUUUUCAAGAUUUUGCCUAUGUCGCUAGGUUGACAAACACAUGUGUGCUGGAUUUCAAGUCACGUUACGAGAAUCAAGGAUAUUUAGUUCACUACGCAGCUCACAAAACAUUGACUCAUCGAGGGGUUUAGUGAAGAUAUCGGCUAGUUGCUUUUCGGUGCUCACAUGGCGAAUUUCGAUAUCUCCUUUAGCUUCGUGGUCUCUCAAGAAAUGAUGUCGGAUGUCUAUGUGUUUAGUUCUUGAGUGACUUACAGGAUUGUUUGCAAGCUUUAUGGCGCUUUCAUUGUCACACAAUAAUGGGAUUUUGGUGAAGUGACAUCCGAAAUCUUGAAGGGUUUGCUUCAUCCAAAGUAGUUGAGCACAGCAUGCACCGGCUGCAACAUACUCGGCCUCCACAGUGGAAAGGGCUACACAAUUUUGCUUCUUAGAGCUCCAAGACACUAAGGACAGUCCAAGGAAUUGACAUGUCCCUGAAGUGCUUUUUCUAUCUACUUUGCAACCGGCAUAAUUAGAGUCCGAAUAGCCAAGUAGAUUGAACUUGGAACCCUUAGGAUACCACAAGCCAAGGUUCGGUGUGUGAACUAGAUAUCGUAAAAUUCUCUUAACAGCCACUAAGUGACACUCUUUCGGGUUGGCUUGAAAUCUGGCACACAUGCACACACUAAGCAUUAUGUCCAGCCUAGAUGCACAUAAGUAAAGAAGAGAGCCAAUCAUGGAACGAUAUACCUUGAUAUCCACAGCUGUCCCUUCUUCAUUUAGAUCAAGAUGUCCAUUAGUUCGCAUGGGAGUUUUGAUAGGCUUUGCAUUCACCAUGUCAAACUUCUUGAGCAUAUCAUGAGUGUACUUGGUUUGACUUAUGAAAGUUCCUUCCUUCACUUGUUUGAUUUGAAAUCCAAGGAAGAACUUCAAUUCACCCAUCAUGGACAUCUCAAACCUCUUUGUCAUGGUCCUACUAAAUUCUUCAACAUACAAAUGAUUUGUACUACCAAAUAUUAUGUCAUCGACAUAUAUUUAGCACACAAAUAUAUCAUUACGAACUUUAUGAGUGAAGAGUGUAGGAUCGGCUUUCCCUAUGUCAAAGCCUUGUUUAAGCAAGAAUUCCUUAAGGCAUUCAUACCAUGCUCUUGGUGCUUGUUUCAGCCCAUAGAGCGCCUUUUGGAGUUUGAACACAUGGUUUGGAAACUUGGGGUCUUCAAAUCCCGGUGGCUGCUCAACGUAGACCAAUUCUUGUAUUGGACCAUUGAGAAAUGCACUUUUGACAUCCAUUUGAUAUAACUUGAAGUCAUGAUGGGCAGCAAAGGCUAAGAGCAUUCGAAUUGCCUCAAGCCUUGCUACCAGUGCGUAUGUUUCUUAAAAAUCCAAUCCCUCUACUUGAGUAAAUCCUUGAGCUACCAAUCUUGCCUUGUUUCUUGUCACCACACCAUGUUCAUCUUGCUUGUUCCGAAAGACCCAUUUUGUUCCAAUAACAUUGGUAUUUGGCCUUUCAACCAAGGUCCAUACUUGAUUUCUCUCAAAGUUGUUAAGCUCUUCUUCAUUGCCAUGACCCAAUCCGGAUCUCCAAGUGCUUGUUCUACCUUGAGUGGUUCCAAAGAGGAGACAAACGAGUAAAAUUGACAAAAGUUAACCAAAUGAGAUCUAGUUGUUACCCCUUUUCGAAUGCUUCCAAGAAUGUUGUCGAUGGGAUGAUCUCGUUGUAUAGUUUGUCAAAGUCUUGGAUACUCAUCAAGGUUUGUUUGCUCCUCUGAAUCUUCAGCUUCUUCUUGUUCAAAAAUGGGCUCUAGGUUGAUUCCUUCAACUUGUGAUGUAGGAGCAGGAGGAUCUGCUGCUGAGGUGGAGGGGGCGGCACUGCCGCCCUUAGGUGCGGCACUGCCGCCCUGCUGAUUUCCAGCAGGUGUGUGUUGCACAUCCUUGUCGACUACGUCAGCGGAAAUUUGUGCAGCAACAGCUGGUGGAUCCUCCUCUUCUGAGACUUGUCCUUCCAGUGGCCUAAUGUCACCGAUGGACAUUUGCUUGAUUGCCUUACAAGGUGGAUCUUCCUUUCCCACAACACUUAGAUCAACUUGCUCCACUUGAGAGCCAUUAGAUUCAUCAAAUGUCACAUCUAUCGAUACCUCAACUCUACCUAGAGUUCUGUUGAAGACUCGAUAGACGUGCUCAUUUGAUCCAUAGCCAAGAAGAAAUCCUUCAUCUACUUUAGGUGCAAACUUAGAGGUUUUAGGUCUUUUGUUUAGUAUGAAGAACUUACACCCAAACACUCUAAAGUAAGACACUUUGGGUUUGUUACCGGUGAGAAGCUCAUAUGAAGUCGAGUUUCUUGUGUAGAUAGAGGCGAUUAAUGGCAUGGCAAGUGUUGACGGUCCUUAAUGCUCAUAUUUAACCGUCAACUAAUCAUCGAAAAGGAUCUAAAUGGAACCAACACCUAGACUUAGGGUUUUAUCUGACAGAAUUCCAGGAGUUUUCGUAUUUGUCUAUUUCUGCAGGGGGUUAUGAGGAAAUACAGAAGAAAGGCCCACACGUCGGGUUUACAUAGAGAUAUUAACGUGCCGCGCAAUUUUCUAUCAUCUAGAAGACUCCAGAAGCCACGGGACCGAAGCGGAGGCCGAGAGGACUCAGGGACAGGGCGCCCGCCCUCCUAUUCUGCCCAAUCAGGGUACAACUCGGGGAUCAUGCUCCACCGACCUAAAGGAUCAAGGAUAACCGUUCAAUCAAUGUCAGUUUGAUCCGACGGCCCAGUUUCAUCUGAAAAGACUAUAUAAGCAAGGCCCCCUGGCCCCUGGAGAUCAUACCACUUCUACAAAAUCAAAGUUAGGGUUUCAAUUCUUCAUCCAAGUAGAGAGGAUCCCUCUAGUUCUUCGAGUUCUACCUCUAGUUCAUCUAGUUCUAGUUCUAGUUCAUCUAGUUCUAGUUCUAGUUUCUCUAGUUCUAGUUCUAGUUAGUUCUAGUUGUAAUCUAGAAAAUAGGGAGAGAGAAGAGGAGAGCGGAGGAGGAGGAGCCGGAUCUGUUGGAUCUUCCUCAACAUUGUACUUUUGCAGCAACUGGUUCGUUCUUCAUCGUUCUCUAGGUUCUUCAAUUCACAAUUCAUGAGUUCUUUAAUUACAUUUAUUUACAUUCAAGUUAUUUAUUGGAUUCCCGCUUGCAUCAAGUGCUCUAAUCUUUGAAACAUUAGAGUAGUAAUUAAUAGAUUAGACGUGGUGUUUAGUCUUGCAAUUUAUUGGAAUUGCACCCAAUCCUGCGGAUUGUUGUGGUAGCCCUAGGGUAGUGACAGCCCUAACGGUCGACGUAUUCCACCUCGUUCGGAUCGGUGUUUGUAGGACCAUAGUCAGACCUUCCUAGGCCCCUUCUCAUCUCUUUCUGUGGUUAGUGCUCUGAUGUCCCGAUAUAGAUAAUCUUGAAGUAAUUCUUGAUUCUUAGAUCAACUAGAGAACUCUCAGGAAACUUCCUCUCUUCCCACCAAAAAUAAUUAUAUAGUUAUCCUUGGGCGAUCUUGAUUCUUAAUUAGUACACUCACGUUCCCUGUGGAAAAUCGAUACUCUGGAAUACUCCCGGGUGAAGGCUACAUCGGUAUCCGUGCGCUUGCGGAUUUUUCCGUUUGCGUUUAAAAUACCCAACAAGCUUUGUGGCGCUGUUGCCGGGGAACGGUAGUUGUGCUAGUUUCGAACCAAGUCGUCCGUGUAUCCUUUUUCUUUUCCUUUUUUACCACACUCACCUUACCAUUUUCACCACACCACAUGGAUUUCACUCUAAGCAUUAAUGAGCAUGGAAUUUAUUUCAUAGCCACUUCAUUUACUCCAUGCUCAUAUGCAAUAUCUUCACAAUCCAUUGGUCUCUCCAACAUCACCACAUUCGAUAUCUCCAACCCCCUCUUCCUUUCUAUUUAUAAAAACUUUAAAAGGGCGGUUGUCGAUGCAUAUGUCUAUAAUAAAUUUUGCACAUCUCGUUGAGUUGAUCUUGAUAUAGGUCAGCGUUGGAGGGGAAACCACUUCACUGAUAUAAAUUGAUGGUUUCCCAAGGACAAGCUUAGCGUCCUAAAAUAAGCACUGAUCAGACCAUAACAUAAACUUUUAAUUAUUUGCAACAUUACCUUGUGUAUUGAGCAUAUAAGGAUAAUUGUAAAAAAUUCCUUCGGGUAUUCUUGUCACUAACCUUUCCAGGAUUGGAGCAAGAAGAUCGGAUGAAUGACAAGCACAAGGUAUGUCCAACCAAUCAUCAUACAACAUUGAAUUAAAUUCAUCCAAACUUGAAUUUUGCAAAAUUCAAGCUUGGGGGAGUACUUUACAUUAAAAACAUCCUUUGCCAUGUUGCUAUGUUGGUUGUCCCUACCUUUGAGACAUGCUCAAUUUGUUAAAUACUAAUCACACUACUUCAUCUCCACUUGAGUAGAUCUCUAUAAAUGCUCUCAUGCUACCUUUAUUUGCUUUAGUAUAUGUCUAGGUUUGGAGUAGUUUCAUUUAUCUCUUAAUUAAGCUUGGUGCUUAGUUUAGGAAUGAUGAUCUUACUUCCAAGGGGUUUUAAAUUAAGCAUGGUGCUUAGGUUAAAAUGCCCUCCUAAAUCAAAUCAGACAUGGUGUCUAGGUUGAUCUUUGAGCUGAUAGUAUGCUAUAGUAGAUAUUGGAUAUUUUGUUGGACUAACCCCUACAGGAAAACUUUCAACAUUGACCUGGGAAAGUCCUGAGAUAAACUCACAUUGGAGACAAAGAGAGAGACGCAUGAAGGUUAACAAUUUACACAAGGAAGGCAUGGCUCACAAGAGAUGAUCCAUGGAGGGUGCCACAAACACGAUGCACAACCGCUAAGAAAGGAAAGCUUCCAUAAGGUGAUACUGUACCAUCACUCUUCAAGUAAGGUAACAUCUUAAGGUACUUGACUAUCACUUUUAUAAGCUUCUCCUUGGUUCUGGCAUUCACAUGGAUAAAAGAGACAAACAUGUAUGAAUUACAACUCUAGAUUAACCAACCCAAUCGUUUCAAUAUGUUUAGUCCUUCCACCGUUGUGAUCCCACACUCCUAAUCAUAUGAGCUAAAAUGUUGCACACUCAAUCUUUGGAAGAUAUAUAUAAAAACAUAAGUAUAGUUAGAUUAUCUUUCUAUUAGGUUGAGCGAUUUGAUCUGACAAUUGUUUAAAAUGUUACACUCAUGAUCUUAUUAUCCAUCAACUUUGUCUUGCUCACUAUGCUUAAGGUUAGAGAGAACAUAUACACUUUUGGUUCUGUUGGUGUUUUCCACCAACAGGGCCCAUGCACUUGAUCUCUGCCUUGUCUCUAUGAGCAGAUACACUUUGAGCAAAAUAUGAAGGACUUUUACAACUCCCAGACUCCACCAAGUGAAGAACCUAGAUCUACGAGCACAAACACACUGGAGAUACCGGACACUCAGGCAAUCACUGCCCUGAGAUGCUUGAGGACGUAACUACUGGAGUAACCCCAUUGUGGAAGUAAUUACUGACUUUCUGCCGGUCAAGAGAGACAAUCUAGGACGCCCCAUCAUCCCAAUCUCCUUCGGCAUGGUGGACUUCCCAGAUGCACUCUGUGACUUUGGCUCUAGCGUCAACAUUAUGCCCAGGCUUGCAGAUCAGACACUAAGUUUCCCAAAGGGAAUAUUGAAGAACCUCUACGUACGAGUUGGCACCUUAUACGCUCCAGCAGACUUCGUGGUGAUAGAGACUGAUACUGAUGAGAGGGCACCCAUCAUCUUAGGGAGGCCAUUCCUAAACACCUCAGGAGCUAUCAUCUACGCUAGUGCUGCCAAGAUCAGUUUCUACAUCAAGGGGAGGAAGGAGACGUUUUCCUUCGAGAACAAGAUUACACAAAUCACAGAGCAAUCCUGACAUGAACCAAGGAAGAGGACCAACAGGAGGAACAGGAACAAGCAAAUGUGGACCGAAUCAGUUAAGAUGGUCACUGCAAUUCACAGAGGUCAAGAUCGUCGACUCAAGUCGCCUUUCCUGACCAAGAAGGACGACCCAAGUAUGCCAAGCAUCCAGUGCUCCAUUAAUGAAUACAACUUCCAGAAGAUGCUUUGCAACAUAGGGUCAGGCGUCAACAAAAUGGCCGCAGCCACCUAUAAGCUCCUGUUUGGAACCAUGCCCCUACAACCAACAUACAUUCAGCUCUAGAUGGCAGAUUAGACAUUUCGGAAGGUUGAAGUUAUUGAUAUGGGAGAAGACGAGUACGAUCCACCCAUCAUCCUUGGAAGACUGUUCCUCAGCACUGUUAAAGCAAUCAUCUACCUUGGAACCGGAGAAGUCCACAUGCACUUCCCCUCUGAGAAGGUACGCUGCUAUUUUCCUGACCCUAACCAUAUAGUUGAAAACUCUAAGCAGGUCAGAACAAAAAGAAGACGACACAACCGUAACCAGAAGAGGCAAAUCAUCAAGGAUGGAUGGCCAGACUAUGAAGGAGAAGUUGUAAGGUUUGAAGACAUACAGCUUGAACAGAACUGUCCUGAGGAGACCGUAGCACCGAGUCAGGUGUGGGGAGAGAAGAUAGUUAUACACGAAGAGCAGGUGCCACCGGAACCACCGACUACGCCAUCCAGCAAAUCUCAGGACGACUGAGGAAACGGAGAGUCCCGUUCGGAGGACUUAAAAAAACACCGAACGCCUUGCCAAGAGGUAAUCUUGAUAGUUAUCCUUUUCCUUUUAAUUAUUUAAAAUAGUUUGCUUAGUUAAUCAGGUUCAUAUUAUCUUGAAAAGAAAAUAAAAAUAUUAAAAAAAUAGUAAGCCCCAUGUGAGUAUGCUCAUGGCAUAAAUCCCAUAAGUACAUUCACUGUGGUGGCAUAAAAAUAAAAUAAAUAUAUUUCUGUCCUAUAAAAAUAAAAUUAUAAAAAUAAAAUUAUGAUCCUACUAAAGAGAGUAACAUUUAUUGAGUUGGCUCAACAUGAUAAAGGCUAGAUAUUUAUGCUAACACUUAACUAGUUCCACAAAGCUUUGUUGUCUAUUUGAGCUCUACAGAAUUCAAGGAUCAAAGAAGACUAGCAGACGGAGGACAUCCUAAUCACUGUCAGGGUGCUGCCAACAUUCAAAUACACCUCCGCCACCUGCUAGCUACAUCAGAAGAAAUUGCGUCAAAAUCCAGCUUGGGGGAGAGCACCCCCAUUUAUCCAGCUAAGUGUUCUAUUGGCGUUUAUACUUUACUCAAACAAUAAAAAGAUGCAUAGUUUGCUUUCAUAAAAACCCAAAUAAAGAUUUUGUGCUUUUAUAUAUAUCUUUGCUUAGUUUGCUAAAUAAAUAAAUAAAUAAAGUUUGCUAUGAACCCUCAUGAUAAGCUCUCACAUGGAAAUGAUGAAUAGUUGCUCUGCCAUGACUAGUUCUCAAAAUUGAGAUCUCUCUCAAGUUUAGGCCUGACUAUUAUUAAUUAAGAUUUGCUCUAAACUUGAACUUGUGGGAAGAUUACUUGAUCUAAAGUCUAAGUUGUUAACGGAUAUGAUAUGGGAAGGUUGAGCUGCUGUUUAUCUGUUCCUAGAGAUGCUAGAAUUCUGGAGAAUUUUAUCUUUGAAAAUCUUUAAAAUAACACAUGAUGAGUUCCUGUAUGAUGAGAGUUUAAAUUCCUACCACAGCCAUAUAUACAUGCUUGCUAGACUUUGAGCCAUACAUUUACUUUUUACUGCUUAUGAGCAUUGAGUGUGGUCAAGCUGUGUAGACCCUUAGGAGCUUGUCAUGUGGUUAAAUCAAGAUUCACUUGCACGUUCACUCAUACAUGCUGCUUCUACUCCGGAAGUAUGCAUCCACAUACAUCCACUCAAUUCCAUCUCCAGAUUCACCUAAAAUUAUUUUACUCCUAAUCUGGGAGAGAAUAGCCAAAAACAUUAUCCUAUUUCUGUUUUUCCCCUGUGAAAUAAAUGCUCAAGUUAUCUUGGUUACUACCACUUGCUAUAUUAUUUUAAGAGAUGAGUGCUCUAAUAAAAAAAAGGGGGAUAAAAAAGUAUACGAGGAAAAAAAAAGGGGCAAGUGCCCGGAACCUCGAAGAAAAGAAAAAGUAAGACGAGAGGUAAAAAUGGACAAGUGUCCGACAGUACAAUUAGGGGUACAAGAUACCCACCUGAGAGAAAAGAAAAAAAAAUAUAGAGCAUCCUAUUUUCCUCAAAAAGUUUCAAAAGAGUAAGAAAGGUAUGUAUCCCCUCAAAAGAGCACAAGUAGAAUUAGACAUUCACCAUUGUUGUCACCAUCAUUAGCAUGCACCAUUCAUUCGCCACACAUGCACAUCUUGAUUUGACUUAUUGACUUGUUCUUCUGGAUCCAUGGUUUGACUAUGCAAUAAAUGUCUUGUAAGUAUGUAUUAGCUGUCUCCCACCUAUGAGCUCCAGAUAUCAAAAGCCUUAUUAGAGUAGGAUGAGAGAGAAGGCAAUGCCACUAUGCCUCAUACCAAAAAUACCACAUACUUUGAGAGAAGGCAUACACCAUUACUGUCUUGGUUAGGAUCCAGAAAUACCACAAAAGAGAGACUAGAGAGAGUCAUACAAGGAAUCUCUGAGUUUUAUUUGAAAAUCUGCAAAAACUCCAGAGCUAUAGUUAAUCGACGAACAAGAGACAUGGCGCUUGAUUAGACCGUUCUAUCUUUUAACUGCUCAAGACAUAAGUGACGGUUACAAGCCCCAUGGUGGAAGGUAAAAUGAGUAAGUUUAAAUCUUAACAGUUUACCCUAACCCAGAGAUGAGAUCUUGUUUGAACGCAUGUGUACCUUUAAGGCAUGAAACCACUGCAGAAACUCUUGAGUUCAUCUUUGCUCAGGGACGAGCAAAGGAUAAGCUUGGGGGAGCUUGUUGACGGUCCUUAGUGCUCACAUUUAACCGUCAACUAAUCAUGGAAAAGGAUCUAAAUGGAACCAACACCUAGACUUAGGGUUCUCUCUGACAUAAUUCCACGAGUUUUGGUGUUUGUCUAUUUCUGCAGGGGUUAUCAGGAAAUACAGAAGAAAGGCCCACACGUCGGGUUUAUAUAGAGAUAUUAACGUGCCGCGCAAUUUUAUAUCAUCUAGAAGACUCCAGAAGCCACGGGACCGAAGCGGAGGCCGAGAGGACUCAGGGACAGGGCGCCCGCCCUAGUCCUUAGGGCGCCCGCCCUCCUAUUCUGCCCAAUCAGGGUACAACUCAGGGAUCAUGCUCCACCGACCUAAAGGAUCAAGGAUAACCAUUCAAUCCAUGUCAGUUUGAUCCAACGGCCCAGAUUCAUCUGAAAAGACUAUAUAAGCAAGGCCCCCUGGCCCCUGGAGAUCAUACCUCUUCUACAGAAUCAAAGUUAGGGUUUCAAUUCUUCAUCCAAGUAGAGAGGAUCCCUCUAGUUCUUCUAGUUCUACCUCUAGUUCAUCUAGUUCUAGUUCUAGUUCUAGUUCAUCUAGUUCUAGUUCUAGUUCCUCUAGUUCUAGUUCUAGUUAGUUCUAGUUGUAAUCUAGAAAAUUGGGAGAGAGAAGAGGAGAGCGAAGGAGGAGGAGACGGAUCUGUCAGAUCUUCCUCAACAUUGUACUUUUGCAGCAACUGGUUCGUUCUUCAUCGUUCUCUAGGUUCUUCAAUUCACAAUUCCUGAGUUCUUUAAUUACUUUUAUUUACAUUCAAGUUAUUUAUUGGAUUCUCGCUUGCAUCAAGUGCUCUAAUCUUUAAAACAUUAGAGUAGUAAUUAAUAGAUUAGACGUGGUGUUUAGUCUUGCAAUUACCUGGAAUUGCACCCAAUCCUGCGGAUUGUUGUGGUAGCCCUAGGGUAGUGAUAGCCCUAACGGUCGACGUAUUCCACCUCGUUCGGAUCGGUGUUUGUAGGACCGUAGUCAGACCUUCCUAGCCUCUUUCUGUGGUUAGUGCUCUGAUGUCGCGAUAUAGAUAAUCUUGAAGUAAUUCUUGAUUCUUAGAUCAACUAGAGAACUCUCAGGAAACUUCCUCUCUUCCCACCAAAAAUAAUUAUAUAGUUAUCCUUGGGCGAUCUUGAUUCUUAAUUAGUACACUCACGUUCCCUGUGGAAAAUCGAUACUCUGGAAUACUCCCGGGUGAAGGCUACAUCGGUAUUCGUGCGCUUGCGGAUUUUUCUGUUUGCGUUUAAAAUACCCAACAGCAAGCGGUGUUGAUGGCCUCACACCAAAAUAUAUUCGACGUCUUGUAUUCAUCAAGCAUAGUUCUUGCCAUGUCGAUAAGUGUUCUAUUCUUCCUCUCUACCACACCAUUUUGUUGUGGGGUGUACGUGGUUGAAAAUUCAUGCUUGAUGCCUUCAUCAUCAAGAAACUCUUCAACUUGAGUGUUUUUGAAUUCGGUCCCAUUGUCACUUCUUACUUUCUUGAUAGGAAGACCAAAUUCCUUUUGUGCUCGUCUGACGAAGGUUUUCACCUUGUCUUGUACCUGACACUUGUCAUAAACAAAGAACACCCAAGUGAAACGUGAAUAAUCAUCAACAAUUACUAAUCCAUAUUUGUUACCCCCAAAGCUUAGGUAGGCGACCGGUACAAAGAGAUCCAUGUGUAUCAACUCCAAGGGUUGAGUGGUAGUCAUUAUGCUCUUUGGUGGGUGAGGUACACCUACUUGUUUUUCGGCCUGGCAAGCGCUACAAAUCCUAUCUUUUUCAAAACUAACAUUUGUUAGUCCAAGGAUGUGGUUGUCUUUCAAGAGUUUGGCCAAAUUCCUCAUCCCAACAUGAGCUAGUCGGCGAUGCCAUAGCCAACCCAUGCUGGAUUUUGCCACUAAACAGGUCUCAAUCUUGGUUUCACUCUUGCUGAAGUCAACAAGGUAAAGUUUAUUUUUCAACCGACCCGUAAAGACAAUAGAGGCAUCCUCCCUCUUGAAGACUUCCACACCCUUAUCCGUAAAGAGACAAUUGUAUCCCAUUUCACAUAGUUGAGAAAUGGACAGCAAAUUGUAACUUAACGAAUCAACAUGUAAGACAUUUGAAAUAGAAUGAUCAAGUGAUAUAGCUACUUUACCAAGACCUAUCACUUCCCCUUUUGAGUUAUCACCAAAAACAAUGUUGUCAUUGGAGUUUGUUGUUGGGGAAUAUGAUGAAAACAUACUCCUUUCUCCGGUCAUAUGAUUUGUGCAGCCACUAUCAAGCACCCAACUUGAUCCACCGGAGGAGUAUGCCUGCAAAACAAGUUUAGUUGCUAGGUUUAGGUCCCCAAUCAUUCUUGGGGCCUCUCAUGUUAGUCACAAGAAUCUUAGGAACCCAAAUAGAGGUGUGAAGAUAAAUAUUUCUGUCCUUGCCAAUAUACUUGGCAAUCACCUCCCCUUUGCUAUUGUUUUUCAACACAAAACUAGAGUUCAAGCCUUGUUGAAAUAUUUGUGCCUUGGGUUGAUACUUAAGCUUGCUUGAUAUACCCCAGACUGUAUCUCUUGGUUUCUGGAUCUUUUUAUCCUGCUGGGACAUAUGCUUCUUGGACUUGUCACUAGCAUAGGAGGUAUGGGUGGCCUUCCCUUUCCAGUGGGGGGCGGCACUGCCGCCCUUGGUUGGCAGUGCUGCUCGGGGCAGCCAUGGUGUCACCUUCUGUGCAGGCUGUUCUGUACCUAUUUUUCCUUUGCUAGUAAAUUUCACACACUCAUAUCCAUUUAUUACCCUUCUUCCAUUUGUCUUGGCUCCUUUCUUUAGACCAAGUCCAUCCUUUAUAUAGGGGUGUCUCCCAUCCUUGUAUUGUGCUUUCUUUGAUGGAUUCUUCUUGCCAUUACUAACCUUAUUGCACUUCUCACUUAUGACAACAUUUAAUCUUGAGAUCUCUUUUCUCAUUUCACAUAUGUUCAUAAGGUUAGCUCCAUGAGUAUUUUUGUCAAUGUUGUGGCAAGUUUCACAUUUUAGACUAGUGGAGGAAUUAGAGGUGCCUUUUGUAUUAGAGGGCUAUGAGUUGCUCUCCAAAAGAAGAUAAUAUUGCCUCUCGAGUUUGUUGUGCUUUUCCUUUAAGACACAAUACUUAUCGUUGACUGCAAUAUUUGCCUUCUUUGUGAGAGCAUGUUCUCUUUGUUCCUCGGUCAAGACCUUGGUCAAAGAGUCCACCUCACUUCUCUCCAACACAAGAGCUUCCUUACAAGCAAUGUACAUAUUCUCUUUGCUCAAGUAAGUCAUCAUCUCUUGUUGCCAGCUCAGCUCGCACACUCUCUAAAUCCUCCAAUAGUUUAGUGAUGAAUAUUUUGGUCUUAGGAUCUAACUUUCUUGUUAUUUGAACGAACUCAUCAUUGUCACUAAGAUCAUCAUCACUAGAGCUUUCACUAAGUUCACUACUAGAUAUAUCACUAGGGAUUUGAGAGGAUUUGGAUUUAGUUUUUACCUUCUCACCCUUUGCCAUAAGACAAAUGUGAGGGGAGAUAUGAUCAUCGUCAUCAGACAUGUUGGAGAAGAGCUUCGGUGUUGAGGAUGAUCCUUGAAUUGCCAAGGUUGCAACUUUCAUAUCCUCAUCACUUGACUCUUUAGUUGAAUCCCACUCAUGUCCAAUGUGUGCUUCUCCCAAUUGCUUAUUUUUCUUCUUGUAUUCAUGCUUGCCUUCUCUAAUGUUGUCUCUCUUGUAGUUAUUCUCCUUCUUCUCAUAAGGACACUUGGCAACAAAGUGCUCGGUGCUGCCACAAUUAUAGCAAGUUCUCUUUUUCUUGUUUGGGAACUUUCUUUGGACAACUUUAUAUCCAUUUUGCUUCAGCCCCUUGUGAUACUUCCUUAUAAAUAAAGCCAUGUCAUCAAUUUUCUUGAAAUCAGCCCCUUGUGUUUCUUCUUCUUCACUUGAAGAUGAGCUUGUGUCCUCUCUUGUUUGCACUUGUUUUGGUUCUUUGGAUUGACUAGUUGAUGUUUGCUUGCUGUCCUUGAUCUUGUUUGAGCUUCCUUUCUUGCUUGAUUUGUUGGCUUUGAGAGCAACUUCUUUAAUCUUCAUGCCAUCUAGUUUUGCUUGCAGCUCACCGAGCUUCCUUCUUUUAUUUGCUUCUUCUCUUUGCAUGUCAAAAGUCAACAAUCUUCCAAGCACAUCAUUUGGUGUGAAGUGCUCAAACUUUUUCUUAUCCCUAAUCAAGGUGACUACGGUCUCAUUUCUUGGUGAGUAUGCUUCCAACAUGAUUUUCACCACCUUGUGAUCAUCAAGCUCCUCACAACCAUACCCUCUAAUUUUGCCAACCAAGGUCAUCAAUCUAUCAAACAUCUCUUGAGGACCUUCUCCAUCAAUUAUCACAAACCUAUUUAGCUUAGCCAUCAAUAAGUCAAUUUUGGCUCUUCUCACUUUGUCCACACCCUCAUGUGCAAGAUGCAAGGUGUCCCAAAUCUGUUUUGCCACAUCAACAUUCAUCACUCUAUUGUACUCAUUUCCAUCUAGAGCACUAAGGAGAAUGCUUGUGGCUUGUCCGUUGAGGUGGACAGCAGCUAGCUCUUCAUUUGUUGGCUCUUCGGGGUUCUCUGGUGCUUGAAAUCCACUACACACAAUUUCCCAAAGACUGGGGUGAAGACCGAUAAGAUAAGCCUUCAUCAAGUGCUUCCACUUGGCAAAGUUUGUCCCAUUGAAAUGAGGCAACUUCCUGGCGGGCACGUUAAUGAAAGACUUGCGGUCACGAUUAGUCAAGUAAGAAUAAUUAAAGGAUACGGCUGAAUAUUUCUUCUUGUUGGUGCUCUCCUUGUCUUUGUUUGUCUUUUUCUUGUUCUUCUCUUGUUCCUUGGAAACGUGAUACGAUGCAUCAUCAUCCCCAUCUUCCGAGCUACUAGAUAGCUCACUCGAAGAAGCAUCAUACGUCUUUCUUUCUUCUUGCUUUGUUCUUGCAGCCCUUCUUUUUGCUCUUUCUUCGCGUAUGCGCUUUCUUUCUUCUUUUCUCUUCAGCUUCUCAUCAUGCUUUUGUUGUUCUUCUUUUGCUUUUCUCCUUGCUUCUCUUCUUGCUCUUCUUUCUUUCUUUCCACAUCGGUGGUCCUGUCAUCUUUGAGGGUAGCAUUGCCUGCUGUGGACAGUGACAUCUCACGGUCACUGCUUGCAUCCUCGACAAGCACAUCAUCAUCCUUUGGCUCUCGUGUGGAUCUUGAACCUCUUCCAACUUCCAUACUUCACGCGGUGAAGCGUAUCUGAAGUAAUGAGGCUUUGAUACCACUUGUAGGAUCUCCUGAAAGUAAAAGAGGCCUAGAGGGGGGUGAAUAGGCCUGUUAAAAAUUAAUUCAAAACUCUGUUAGCUCAGAGGGCGGCACUGCCGGCCUUCUAGGGCAUCACUGCCGGCCUACAAAUAAAAUACCCACGGUGAUAAAACUUUGUAGGAAGUUAACUUACGUAAAGAAGAGUCCAAUCCUGCAAAACAAGGAAAAGAUCCAGUACGAAGAUUGGAUACCACAGAAAAGUCUCACAAGACUAGAUCGGGUUACCAAACCCUAGAAGAGUAUAACUUUGAGAAAUAAUCUGCAAGAAGCACACAAGACUCAGAGAUUUAUCCCGUGGUUCAGCUCACCACAAAGGCUUGCCUAGGUCCACGUUAUUGAGGAAGCCACAAAAGGCUUAGGCUUGCCACAAAGGCUUGCCCUACCCUUGUUCUCAAGUCAAGAGAGUAAACUCUUGAAGUGAGGGGUAAUUUCUUAGCUGCAAAAACAAGUUUACAAACCUCCCAAGGCUGCCACACAGGAGGGCAAGCUCAUGGGCGACGCCUAGCCGGCUAGGAGCAAGCUCCAAGAGUAAUAAACCCUAGAACCGCCGACCAAACGUGAACCAAAUGCUCUUAGACUUUUGGAAGCAGUGGAUCUACUCUCCAAUCGAGUUUUGCUGCCUUUUCUCUCAAGGAUUGAUGGUUGGAAUCAAAGAUUGCUUGAGGGAUGGAGAGCAACAACGGAGGAGAGAGAGAGAGCUCUGGUCUGUCUGAGCAAGAGAUAAGUUGUCUGAGGUCCAAGAUGACCGUUGUGAGGAGCGUCCAGAGGUAUAUACCUCCCCUAGGUCCCAACGGUCAGAAGAGGGCGGCACUGCCGCCCAUGAUGGGCAGUACGGCCACCCUGGCUAGAGCAGGUUAAGAAGAAAACUGUUUUACGUGCUGCUUUGGCUGAGAAAGAGGAAGUUGUUUUGAGAAGAUGAGCAUCUGGUUGCAUAGUUGAUCAACAAUUCUAGAAUUCCCCUUUAUAGUACGGCUUUUCCUAAACUCAAAUAAAGAAUAUAAAAUGAAGUAACACGUCUUUGAGUUUGGAUCAGCUCAAACAUGUUUUCAGAAUACCAGCAACCUGUACAUCACUUCUAUCGUUUUGAUCCCCUACUCAUUAACUCGAUAAAACUUGUUAGUCCUCUAAUUUUAUUGUCAUUAACACCAAUACCCACAAUAGGGCUUGAUUGCACUUACACGGUGCCUAACCCUAACCGGGCCUGGCUGCCUGCACAGCGGACGCAUAGGCACAACGUCGGUGCUUCUGGGCUAGCGUCCGGUGAGUGUUUCCCGUGACUUCUCCGAAAUUCCCAUCGGCGCAAUAGAAAAUAUGCACUUCAUUUUCUCAAAAACCAUCCUCUCUCUACCCUUCAAACUCCACCUCCUUAUCAAAGCGUGCUAACACCACAAAGUGUAAACCAACAUGUGCACGUGUGUUAGCAUUUUCACAAUCAUUUUCUUCGAAGGAGUUAAGUUAGCUCACUAGGUUCUAAAUGCAUGCACAUGAACAAUGACACCUAGUGGCACUUGAUAACCGCUUAGCCAAAGAAUUAUAGUACGACUAUCUAUCCUAGAUGUGAUCACACCCUCUAUGGUGUCUUGAUCACUAAAACCAAAAACCUAAGCAAUACCUUUGCCUUGAUCUCCAUAGGGUUUUGUUUUUCUCUUUCUUAUUUUCCAAGUUGAGCACUUGAUCACCUUGUGGUCAUCAUCAUCAUCACCAUGAUCAUCACUUCCUCCAUCACUUGGCAUGUACCAACCUCAUUAAGUCUACACACACUUAGUAUAGAGGUUAGUACUUGGGUUUCAUCAAUUAUCCAAAAACCAAACUAGGGCUUUCAACUAUCCCCGAUGACGCAGUAAGUUUUCUCCCAAUACUUAGUCCUUUCUUUAUUUUUAACUUCAUCAGCAACUAACUCUUUUAUUUGACAGGUCGAUCACCCAGUAUCAGUCAUGAGCAAAAGUGGGCGACCUUUCGAUCUACGGCCAGUGUCCUCGAUCUCACCAAUCGGUUACAAUGCCCCUACCUUGGCGGCUUUGACUCAUCGGGGAGCCCGUCCUAGGGAAACCACCACCAAGCGCCCAAAAGCCACUCAAUUGGUUGCUGCUGCAACUCAAGUGAAAGCAUUCAAGGUAACAAUUCUAUUUACUUCAAUCUAUGCCAAUCUCAAACUGUACUGACAUUAUCUUUCCAAGGCAUUACAUCUGCAACCGGGGCAUCAUCCUUGAUGAACCUUCAGAGGUACUUUUCUGGCUUCACAUUUAACUUUAUCAAACAUCAUGCCUUACCUCUGUUUUGCAGCAAUAAACCGAUGCAUCGACAAGAGCUCCAGACACUCAACCAACAAGUGCUGAUGCCCCUAGCCAGCGACCGCAAAAGCCCAAACCAAAUGCAAAGCUCUGACAAGCACCAAGACCCAACCGAAGUGGCAAAAAGCUGCACCAUCCUCACCACCCCAGCCAAUGUCUCUAAGUCAAGCUGAACCAGUCGAUGCACCUGAGUAGACAAUUGACCCGCCCGACCAAGGCACGUCAUCGGCCAUCGAACCUGAGCAAACCAUCGUUGCUCCUGCACAAGGUAUGCCAUCGGUCGCUGUAUUCCAACAAUUUACUGCUGAUGAAUUUGCAAAGGAAUUGCCAUUACACUUUUCAUACUUAUUCUUGAAUGAUUCACUCCCUUCCUGUAGGAACAAGACUCUCCCGAUAGCCUUUUCUCUUUCGCCAUCGACAUCCCUGAUGAUGAAGGGGAAGAAGCAACUAAACUGACAUUAGGAACAGUAUCGGCAGAAGUUAAAUCUAAACUGGAGGGCCUAUUAAGCUUGCUGGAGCAAGAUACUGCUCAACUGGUAGAUGACCCAGACCCGGCAAAGAUUAUUUUGAAGACAGUCUGUGGCUAAAUCCCUGCCAAUGUUGAGGAAGCACUCUUCUAGGCUGCUCAUUUGGAAAGUCGCCAGCUUCAAUAUCAGAAGGCUACUCAGCGCAUUGCCGACAGGGCUGCCCAGGCUCAUCUUAAGGAAGAGAUGCUGCAAGUGAAGCAUAUUGCUGAUGAGAAACAUAAAAGCAUCGGCAAUUUGCAGACCUCAAGUGCUAAAUUGAAGCAGAAGAUCUCAGGACUGUUGGCAAGGAAAGAAGCUCUAUUGGUCGAGCAUAAGGAAGUCGAGGAAGCACUGAUCCGUGCCAAACACAAAGAAAGUCAACUGCCUGAUACCAUCAAAACCCUUCAACAGGAGAGGGAUGUCUAAGCCCGUAAAGCCCUGGCGAUGAAGAAGAAGCUCUAGCCAGUGGAGGGUUCUGCCGAUGAAGACAACAAAGAGAUAGAGGAAGCUAACCAGAUUCGCCUAUGUGUGAUAUCGGCUAUCCAAUCCUUACUAAACGUGUAAAUUUCUUUAUCGACAGCAUGUUACAUCGGUACUUCUCAGAAAUGUUAAAACUUUUGUCCAGCAGAUAGGAUUGUUAUCAACAUUUACACUUUCAUGCUUCCAUCCAAAUACUAGGAUAAUAAUUCUUCAAAAAUUUUCCAUUUAAUGCUCUAGGAAACUCAACCCCUUCGAGGGUUUCUAGAAUAUACGCGUUGCCACGAACAGAUCGACUUAUCCGAUAAGGACCUUUCCAAUUAGGGGACCAUUUACCAAACUUUGAACUUUUAGUCCCAAUCGGUAGAAUUAAUUUCUAAACCAGAUCUCCAUCAACAAUUUUUUUUACCUUUACUUUCUUAUCAUACCACUUGGCUACCCUCUUUUUAUUUUCUUCGAUGCUAACCAAAGCUUUUAACCGAUAACCUACCAUGUCUUCCAACUCAUCCCUCAUUGGAGUAUCGUAAUCAUCGGUUGUUAGUUGAUCUUGAGAAGAUACCUGCCUAGAGCCAAUUUUAAUAUCCCAAGGUAGUACUGCAUCAUGUCCAUAUACUAAGUAGUAAAGUGAGACCUUGGUAGCACCAUGACAUGCCAUCUGAUAUGACCAUAGAGCUUCAUUUAACACCGUAUGCCACCAUCUUGGGUUUUCUUCAAUUUUACGUUUAAUGAGUUUAAUAAUUCCCUUAUUAGAAGCUUCGGCCUAACCAUUAGCUUGAGCAUAAUAAGGGGAAGAAUUUAAAAUUUAAAUCCCCAUACCGAUGGCAAACUCAUCAAACUCUCCUCAUGUAAACAUAGUACCCUGAUCAGUAGUUAUAGUUUGAGGAAUACCAAAUCGGUAAACAAUAUGCUCUUUUACAAAAUCAAUCAUGUUGGCCGAUGUCAUCUUUUUCAAAGGAAUUGCUUCAACCCACUUAGUGAAAUAAUCGGUAGCAACAAGUAUAAAUUUAUGUCCUUUGCUCGAUGGUGGAUAAAUUUGACCGAUGAGAUCAAUAGCCUAUCCCUAGAACGGCCACGGUUUAAUGAUAGGAUUCUGUAACACCCCAAAAUUUGCAAUUUCCCAAAAUAGGAGAAAUGGUUUUAAUUGUGUAUUUUUGUGCCCAUGAAAUAUAGGAAAAAUAACAUUUUUAUUUAAUUAAAAUAUACUAUAGGAGUUAACAUCUUGUUUGAGCACGCAUGCCUCUGCAUUUGAUUUAUUGUGAUGAGUGGUUUUGGCUAAAGAUUAAAAAGAGAUUCAAACUUGGUUUUGAAAAUGUUUUGAAAUAGGUUUGUUUUAAAAGAAAAGGGAAACAAAAAAAAGAAGAACUCUCCCUCUCUAUUUUCGGCCCGAAGGCCCAGAACCUUUCCCUCCCCCUUUUCUUCUUCUCUCUGGCCCAAGUGGCAACUGCGGCCCAGCUUCCCCCCCCGCGCCAGCAUCCUUCCCCCUCUCUCCUUUCCACUGACGAGUGGGUCCCACGCCCUUGAAUCACAGACAGGUGGGGCUCACCUGUCGGACUCGUCUCCUACCUCAUGACGAAGCCGGACUCCAUCACGAGUUGGAAACGGACGCGCGUGAUCCUCGCGGUUGGCUUGCCCCGCACGCCGAGGGGGCCUUAAAUAGCGCCCCAGCUCUGCCAAACCACCCUACCCCAACUCUAGGACGAGCAGCCGCCGCAGCCGAGCCAUAGAACGCCACCGAGAUCCGCGCUGCACUCGGAAUUCCGCAGCGCCGUAGCUUUGCCUCCGUAAGCUCCAUGCCAAGCUUGAUACCGUCCAUGCGAUUUCGCUGAGUCUUCCCUCUUGUGAUUUCAUGCUCUCUACACUCCGUGUGACCUCGCCGAACUUUCACAGAGGCCGUCGUCCGCCCUCCACCGUCGUGGGCACUCUCGGGUCGAUCUCGGCUCUACUCCUUGCCCUAGGUGAGUUCGCCUUGAGCUCCACUACGCCCCGGUGCAAUCGGUUUGUUUCAUAGUGCCCUAAUCCGCUCAAACCACGAACGCCGGCCAACUCCGGCCAUGGCGCCGCCAGGUUCGGCCCCAACUCCGGCCGGCGAACUCCCUCUCCCUCCCCACGAUCUAAUCUCGGCCAUUCACCCGCGAUCCGACGGCUCAAAUCAAAAGGUACCCCUUCGGCCGCAUCUUUUACAAAAGAACCCCCCGGGGUUUUAAAGAUAUAACCCGCAGUCCAAAACGCACUUCUGAAAAUAUGUUUUCCGAUUUCGAAGACAUAAACUCACUACUCAGAUUCAAAAUACGUUUUUAUGAAAUUACAAGUUUGCCACUGGUUUUAUAUUGCUCAUAAAAUAUUUGUUUUAACUCCGAUUUGAUCCAUUCAAAUUGCGUUAGAUUCGUAAUCACAAGAUCUACAUGUUAGUCUCAUUGCUUUACAAGUUUACAACUUUUUAUUUUCGUGAUCCUAUUUAAUUAAUUAUUUUUUCUAAAGAAAAUCUUAGAAAAAUCAUAACUUCUUCGUUAUAGCUUCGAUUUUCGUGAUCUUUAUGCCUGUGUGAUCGUAGAGCGAUGUAGAUUUGUUUUAUAAACUUUUCAUCUUUAUUUGCAACUGUUGGUGUAUUGUUCUAAUUAUAAGUUUGUUUGCUUUGUAUGUUUGCCUCUGGAUGAUUGCUGUUGAUGUGAUGACUGAGUUUAGUCGGUGAGCUUUUGCGUGGUGAUCAAGGAGCAAUUUGUGGAAGGUUUGGAACUAAAAGAAGGAUCUGAGUUUCAAGGCAAGUAUAGCAUGGGAUCAUCCUUGUUGCCUAAUAACUUUAAUCACACAAUUCAUAUUGCAUGUGUCUCCUUGUUAAGGAUUUCCUAGUAUUGAUCUUAUACCUUGUCACCGAUUGUUUUGCAUUGGGUAGCUUAUGCUAGCGCUCCACUAAACCAUGAUCUUGUAAUUUGAUUAAUGGAAUAUGCAAUAAACAUUAAAGGUUGACUUUUUAGCAACUUUGGAAAAAGAGGGCUGGAGCAUUGGGCUAUCUUAUGGUGCUCUAGUUUCUCUCCAUAAGGACUUAUCUGUAUCUGACCAUCCGGGACAUACAGUACAACUGUGAGGCCUACGUGGCUCUGGCUUUAGCUCAGUAUGAGGACCUUUUCUAGCUUGUUAGUGGUUACCCUUGUGGCGCAAGUGGGGGAUAGCAGACCGUGGAUUCCUGCGGGUGAGUCACACGGACUGACUAACGAAACCUAGCGGCCCUAACUUGUUAGACGAACCUUUGAAAGGCUUCAUAGUGAACCCUGCCGGUCUUCCUUGGGAGUGGGCUAAGGGGCUGAUCACCACGGGCGAAAGGAUAAAUCACGACUCACAGUGAAAGUGUACAACCUCUGCAGAGUGUAAAACUCAUAUAUAUCAGCCGUGCUCACGGUUACGAGCGGCCUUAGACCAAUACAGAAUAAAUGAUCACUAAUGGCAAAUUAUUAAAGUUAUUAUUGUAAAUAUGUGGUUUAUGCUAUUCUUUAUUCAUCUUACUUGAUCAUGAGUUUACUUUGGGGAUUUGACAUCUUGAUGCUACUCAUAUGCUAAGAUUAUGACAACUGAAAGCUACAUGCAGUUCAACCAGUGUCUAGCCUUUGAGCCUCAUGAACCCCAUGUUAUUCUUACUGAGUACCAUAUGUACUUACGCUCGCUUUUACAUUUUAUUUGGAUAAAAAUCCCAGAUGGGUACCAGAUUGCUAGUCUGGACAAGAGUUUAGGCUUGUGCUCAACCAGUCAGUUGUCCCUGUGGAUUUGGAGCUUUCGCCUGAAGAACGGAGAGUCUUUCCGCUGUUUGCUGUCUAAGGUUAUAUCUUUUAUACUAAGUUCGUUAUAUUUAAGCAUUGACUAUUGAUAUUACCCUUAUUUGUGGCUAUAUGUGAGAUUUGACUUCCUGGGCUCACAUAUGGUGUGUAUCUGGUUUUGUUCUUAAAACCGGGUGCUACAGAUUCAUGGCCGAUGCAGGCGCUCAUUGAACAUUGCCAAACUUUUGACACCCCUGGCAUCCUUUAAAAUAUUUGAAGCAAUAUUCAAGAAUAGUUGGCCAAUAAUAUUUGUUCCUUCUAAUCAUCCAUUUCAUCAUGAAAGCUGACUGAUGUGCCCCACACACUCCUUCAUGAAUUUCACCCAUCAAGCUUUUUGAUUCAUCAUUGCUAAGACAUUUGAGCAAAACUCCAUCUAAAGUGUGAUAAUAUAACUCAUCAUCGAGGAGCACAUACUUAGUAGCUUGAAACCUAACGCACCUUUCAACCUUUUUAGAUGGGUCCCUUAAGUAAUCAGUAAUCUCUAUUCACCAAUCAUCGGCAUGAACUGCCGAUGUCAGCACCUCUUUGAUAGGCUGAUACCCUAAGGCGUGCUGAGCUAGCCGAUUAGCUUCCUCAUUAUGCAAACAGGGAAUAUACUCCUGGCGAAAAUCUUUAAACUCUUUCAAUAAUUGCAAACAUCUUUCAUAAUACGAAAUUAAAACCUCACUUUGGCAUUCAUAAAUCCCAGUCAAUUGAUUUAUAACAAGUAUAGAAUCACCGAAGACCUCAACAGCAUCGGCACAUAUUUCUCUAAGUAAUUCCAACCCCUUCACCAAAGCUUGAUACUCAGUCUGAUUAUUUGUCGAUGUAGCAACAAUUGGCAAUGAAAACUCAAACAUCCUUCCUCCGGGUGAAAUUAACACCACGUCGAUGCCUGCUCCAUGAUCACAGGUAUCGACGUGCCCAGGGAGCAACUUCCAAAGAAUCCACUAUAUUGCAACGUUGAGUAACAAAAUUAGCCAUAAUCUGCCCUUUAACUGCCUUAGCCGAUUCGUAGUGUAGAUCAAAUUCUGACAACACUAAAAUCCACUUGCCAAUUCUACCACUUAAAAUUGGCAUUGAUGGCAUGUAUUUGACCACAUCAUCUUUGCAUAUGACAGUACAUUCGGCCGAUAGCAAAUAAUGCCUUAAUUUAGUACAAGAAAAGUACAAACAUAAGCGCAACUUCUCAGCCUAUAUUUAUACUCCAACCUAAAGAGUCACAACCAAAUAUGACUAGGUCCUGUUUCUAAGACAAAAUAUGACUCUUACAUAAGGCAUAUCCUAACAAAUAUAAAAAAUAACACCUAUCUACUUUUGUGUCUGACUUAACUACGAUGAAACCUUCAUUGGUCCCCGCUCCAUCGGCAUACUUCCUGCCAUCAUAGGCUUCACCAGCAGCAGUCUCCGUUUCUUCCUUCAUCAACAUCGGCAAUGUAUCCUAUCGGCAAUAGUUUUCAAACUGCCAUCGGCAAAUGCCACCUCUGAUCUCACCAGUCAGCACUUUUGAAUUUAAAUUAAAAGGCAAUCCCUUCUCGAACAAUCCUCUUUCAUCGAUAACAACCCCCAUCGGCUGAUCUUCAUCGGCACCUCUCUGUUAGUACAAUGCAAUAACUUCCCUACUACCGAUUGACCCAUCUUGAUUAUCUUGACCCGUACCAAAAAUGGUGUCAACAGAAAUACUUUAAAUCUUUAAUCUAUUACCAUACAAGUCAUGUACAUACACUAUUUAUUUUAUCACCAAUUCCUCUAUAGUGUAACCAAAUAUUAGUUUUUUUAUUAGCUUAGCAAUUUUUUACUAAAUCUAAUACAAUAAAAUACAUGCAAGUCAUAUAGUAAUGCUAUGUAUAUAAUGAUUUAUUUUAAAGAAAAUCCCACAGCAAUGCACUGGAAUUUUACCAAGUAUUAGUUAUUCUAAAAUUCAUGUGAGUCAUUACCUCCUUAAGCUUCAUGUGGUCAGUAUCAAUGUUCAAAUUGGUGGAUGGAUCCCGAUACCAUUGCAUAGCUUUUAGUGCUGCAGUACAGCCCAUAGCAUGAGCUGUGUAGGAAUGGCCAUGUAAGAGCGCCAUAAGCUGGACGUGGUAAAAAAUGGAAUCGGUGCUUGUACCAUUCUGGUUUUUUAAAAGAAGACCAGAGUCGUCAUAUGUGUGUCCACACAUAUAACAAAAAAAUAGAAAUAUCAAAAACAAUGUUAUAUAUAGCGGAAAACAUAUUUAUAAUAAUACUUACAACUAUUAGACUAUCGCGGAAUAGGUUUCUAAACUUCUUUCUCAGGCUCCAUUCUUCUCAGGGACGGCUAACUAGGAGCUUUGUAUGUCAAUCACUUCUGAUAUGCUUCUAGAAAACUCCAUGACAUCAUCGUCCUUCUUCUGAGUAGCAUUUUACUACACACUAGGGGUGUGGGGGAUAGCAAAGGUGAGUUCAUGUCGAACUCCACAAGUACAGAUGGAAAGUAUAAUGACAUGCAAGGCUUAAUCAAAGGAAAAGCUGACACUGUUUAACUAUAGGUGAGCUUUUUAGUUGGUAAACUUUUAUUACAACUCUAUUAUUAAAACAACCUAUUACUAGUGAGUGAAGCAUCCCAACCCUUAAUUAGAUGGAAGUAAAUUAACAAUAUUAUUAAUCAUCAUCAUUAUUAUUAUUACCGAGGUAGCAACCUUAGAUAGUAACUCGGGGUAGCAACCUCAUUAAGGUCAUGGGAUAGCAAUCCCAAUUAAGAACACAUGAUAGCAAUCCUACCAAACAUGAGGUAGCAACCUCAACCAAGUAUCCUUCUCCAAGUUCCAUGUAAAUCCAAUUUGGUCAUCAUGUGAGAGUCUAGGCCGCUCGUGACCGUGAGCACGGCUAAUAUAUCAGUUUUACACUCUACAGAUGUGUGCACUUUCACUCCAAGUCGUGAUUCCCAUUUGCUCAGGGUCAUGACUCCCCAAAAUACUUCCAAGGUGAGUAGGCAGAGUUUCACUACGAGACCUUUCACAGGGUCCAACUAAUAGGAUGCCACUCGUAUGUUUUGGCCGGGGCGCUCGACAGUCGUGCCCAUAGCCAUGGCGCACCGAUCAACCAACAACUUAAUAUCCAUUUCUAAGUUACUUCUUUAUGCCUACUCGGAAAGUAACACCCUACUAGUGGAGGUCCUGAUAAUUAGUCAAGGCAGAACCAUAUAGGUUGGAGCUACACUGUAUAUCUGAGGUGGCCGCUCCAUGACUAAGUCCUUACAGAGGGUAGAGACAGGUACGCCCGGCAUCUAGGCCAACCACUAGUACCCGCUCCCCCUGUCACCACCACCAUCACGAUGCUCAUAAGCAUCCAACAUGUCCAUCACCGCAUUGACCAUUAUCCAGCACGUAUUAAGCAUCAAGUUAAGUAGAGAUUAUUCUUUAUUAAAACUUAUGUAUAAGGUGAGUGGAGCAGCUAAGCAUAACUACUAUACUCGUAGUCUACCCAUAUACAUAACCCCAGGUGUACAAGGAAUGAUAGACAAAGCUAGUCACCUCCUUAAGGUUUGUAUUUAUUGGACACAUGCAAUGAAUGUAAAUAAUAUUAAAUGUAUAGGAGCAAAAUGAUCAAAGGGAGCCUGCACUUGCCUUUUUCCUAGAGUUUAACUCCUCAGAAGUCUUUGCUUCUAUCUUUCAAUCUUUAGCUUCUACUGCACUUGCCGAUCCUUAACUCUAGGUCUUCAAUGCUAAUGAACCACGCUUCUUCUACUCGAAGGUCACACCAAAUGGCAACACAAGCAAAUACACUAGGAGACAAACAAAUAAACAAGCAAACAUAACUACUAAGAACAUAAACCAAACAAAAAAGAAGCUUUGGAAAGAGCGCACUAAACGAUGUGGAUCAAUGCUAAGGUCAUGAGAGCGCAUAAACGGUCGAGAACGGAGCUAUCGUACUAUCGAGACUCGCAAUAUAACGGAGUAGACAGACUAUAUGCUUGUUGUAUUUUAUUUGAUGAAAUAAAAUAAUAGACAUUUCAGAGAACCAUCCUAAUGUUGGAUUAAUCAAAUUAUGUUGAAUUAUAAAAGCCAGAGUUAAACUUUAGUUAUAAUUUAAUUGCAGAUGAUUAUAUAUCAUUUAAGUCUUUUAAGCUUUUGUAAUUUUAGAAAAACAUAAGGCAAGUGAGCAACUAAUCAAAUCCUGGCAUGCGUCACAUUUGUACUAAACAAGUUAUAACUAAUAAAGAAUCAUUUAAGUUGAUAUUAAUAAAGUUAGCAUUUAUUUAUUUAUUUAUAAAAGAUCAAAAUUAUAAACGUAAGUUACUUUUAAUCCAAAAAGACAUUAGAUAAAUAUUAAACAAAUUAAUUAUAUAUUUUAUGUAUAACUAAAAGAAUUAUAAUAAUUAAAUAUUUAAGUUAACAUUAAUCAAGUUAAUAUUAGAUUAUAAAAAAACCAAAGUAUAAACCUAAAUUGUUUUUUUAUUAAUUAAAAAGGACACUCAGUAAAUAUUAAUUAAAUUAAUUGUAUUAAAAAACAUGAGACAUGGAAACAGCGUCGCUAACAAUUCACCACACUCGCAAAGCAAUAAAAUGGAAUUACAACCUAGAGUUUUAAUUAUAAAGUUAUUAAAUAAAUAUUAAACAAAAUGAAUUCAAAGUAAUAAAUUCAUAAUUGAAUGACAGAAAAAAGGUUAGCACUACUAGAUAGAGCGCGACGUUACGAAACUAACCCAAUGGAAACGGAACGAAACGAAGUUAGAAUGACUAAAUGACUAAGGAUUAACGAUAGUGGCAAACUUUUAAAUAAGUUGUCUUUCUGCCUUUGGUUCAGUUGACGUGAACUUGGUUGCCCUGGUGGCCAUGGCGCUGCUGCUGCUGCAUAACGUAGGAAAGGGGAGGGACUUGGCCAGCCGGAAGCACGCUGCAGUGGUGCAAGGCCACGGCGAUGCGGGCCCGCACGUGGGGUCAGCCGGCCUGCACAGCCACGGAGGGCGCUGCUGGGUGCCCUGCUCGAUCUCGAGCAGGCGCGUGCACACGAGGGCGGCUGUAACACCAAAAAAUUUGUUUUUCAAUUAAUAGGAUUUAAUGAAAAUUAUUUAAGCAAUUUUUGUGGACAUUUAAUCUAGUAAAUAAAAUAUUUUUGGUCAAAAUUAAAAUUUAUCCUAAGUUUAGGAACUUGUUUAUGCAUUCAUGCUGAAGAAUAUGUUAUUUUGUAUUGUUUGCCUCUCGCUUGAAUUUAUUUGCAUUCAAGAUUUUAUUUGGAAAAGGUUUUUGGAAAAGAAAACAGAAAAGAAAAAAAAAGAAAACCCCAGCCGAACCCCCCCUCUCACCCUCGCACUCGGCCCGCUAGCGGCCAGCCAGCCCCCUGGCUUCCCUUCCCGCCCCGGCCCAGCUCGUUGCGGCCCAAGCCGAGCAGUGGGCGCGCCCCUCUCCUUGGCCCACUGACAGCUGGAGCCCAUAUGUCAGCCGCGCCCCUUUCCCCUUCCUCCAGCCCGGUUUCGAACCGGACUCGACUGGGACGCACACGCACCCGAUCCCGCGAUACCUGGGAUUUCUUGACAAAUCGUGUGCACCGAGCCCCUAUAAAGGUUGCUAGACUCGCCCCGCACCCCGUUUUUCCACCGUGCCGCGAGAUCAAGCCCUAGGUGCCCUAUGCAAGCUCGGGUUUGGAUCUAGCCUACGCCGAGCCAUCCCAACGCGCAGCGCGAGCUCCUCGCUUCCUCUCGGCCCUUGCAAAGUGCCUAGGUGAGUCCGCGGUGAGCUCCUCGUUCUACCGAGGUUUUUUUUUGGCGUUUUGGUGCUCGGGAGCGAGAGAACCGAGAACUCCGGCGAGCACUCCCAUGCCGCCGCCGCGGGGAGGCUCAACUCUGGCCGGCCGCCGCCGUUAACCCCGUGGACGGAAUCCUGGCCGUCGGAUAGGGAAGUUAGAUGAAGAUUUUCCCAAUAGUAUAGUUAGGAUGAAUAAUUCCAAUAGUAUAGUUAGAUAAUCCCAAUAUUUUAUUUCUAGGGUUCAUCUAGGACACUGCUUCCUCAUCCGCCACCGCAGCCGCCUACCUCUCGCCGGCAGUCCUAACCUUGCGCUAGGACUUCUAGGUCGCCAUCGCCAAGGCCAUCGAUCUACGCUCUAGGCCAACAGCGGUGGUGACAAUUUGUGUGUUCCCCAGCCUCCACCGCCACUACCACUCAUAUUGCUGCUAUUUGCUUAGAGUUCUUAGAUUGGCUUGUCCUUUCGCUAGGAGUUAUCGGUGGCUACUGCCUACUACACUCAGCCUCUCAGACGUUUGUAAGGAAAAUGGACCAUUGGCCCAUUUACUAUGGAUUUUGGUGUUUGAUGAUCAACAUGACCAAAUUGGACUAAUAUGUUUGAAAGUGUGUUGGGUAUUUUAAACGCAAAUGGAAAAAUCUGCAAGCGCAGGGAUACCAAUGUAGCUUUCACCCUGGAGUAUUCUAGAGUAUCGAUUUUCCACAGGGAACGUGAAUGUACUAAUUAAGAUUCAAGAUCGCCCAAAGAUAACUAUAUAAUUAUUUUUGGUGGGAAGAGAGGAAGUUUCCUGAGAGUUCUCUAGUUGAUCUAAGAAUCAAGAAUUACUUCAAAGAUUUUUUAUUUCGGGACAUCAGAACACUAACCACAGAAAGAGAUGAGAAGGGGGCUAGGAAGCUCUGACUUUGGUCCUACAAACACCGAUUCGAACGAGGUGGAAUACGUCGACCGUUAGGGCUGUCACUACCCUAGGGCUGCCACAACAAUCCGCAGGAUUAGGUGUAAUUCUAGGUAAUUGGAAGACUAAACACCACGUCUAAUCUAUUAAUUACUACUCUAGCGUUUCAAAGACUAGAGCACCUGAUGCAAGCGGAAAUCCAAUAAAUAACUUGAAUGUAAAUAAAAGUAAUUAAAGAACUCAAGAAUUAUGAAUUGAAGAACUUGGAGAACGAUGAAGAACGAACCAACUGCUGCAAAAGUACAAUAUUGAGGAAGAUCCGACAGAUCCGGCUCCUCCUCCGCUCUCCUCUUCUCUCUCCCUAUUUUCUAGAUUACAAAUAGAACUAACUAGAACUAGAUGAACUAAAACUAGAACUAGAACUAGAACUAGAUGAACUAGAGAGAUCCUCUCUACUUGGAUGAAUAAUUGAAACCCUAGCUUUUAUUCUGUAGAAGAGAUAUCUCCUCUAGGGGCCAGGGGGCCUGCUUAUAUAGCCCUUCCAAAUGAACGUGGGCCGUCGGAUCAAACCGACCUUAAUCGUAUGGUUCUCCUUGAUUCUCAAAGGCGGUGGAGCACGAUCCGCGAGACCUGCCCUGAUUGGUCACCAGGGCAGGGCGGGCGCCCAGCCCCCGGGCCCGCUCGGCCUCCCGCUCAUUCCUGUGGCUUCUGGACUCUUCUAGAUGUUGGAUAAUUUCGGUGCAUGUUAAUAUCUCUAUGUAAACCCAACGUGUGGACCUUUCCUCCAUAUUUCCCGAUAACCCCCUGCAGAAAUAGACAAACACUCAAACUCGUGGAAUUCUGUUAGAUGAAACCCUAAUUUUGGAUGUUGGUUGCACAUAGGUCCUUUUCCAUGAUUAGUUGACGGUUAAAUGUGAGCAUUAAGGACCGUCAACAAGCUCCCCCAGGCUUAACCUAUGGUCGUCCCUAAGCAAAGAUGGACUCAAGAGUUUUUGCAGUGGUUUCAUGCCUUAAAGCUACACAUGCGUUCAAACAAGAUCUCAUCUUUGGGUUAGGGUAAACUAUUAAGAUUUAAACUUACUCAUUUUUCCUUCCACCAUGGGGCUUGCAACCGUCACUUGUGUCUUGAGCAGUUAAAAGAUAGAACGGUCUAGUCAAGCGCCAUGUCUCUUGUUCUUCGAUUAACUAUAGCUCUGGAGUUUUUGCAGAUUUUCAAAUAAAACUCAGAGAUUCCUUGUAUGACUCUCUCUAGUCUCUCUUUUGUGGUAUUUCUGGAUCCUUACCAAGGCAGUAAUGGAGUAUGCCUUCUCUCAAAGUAUGUGGUAUUUUUGGUAUGAGGCAUAGUGGCAUUGCCUUCUCUCUCACCCUACUCUAAUAAGGUUUUGACAUCUGGAGCUCAUAGGUGGGAGACAGCUAAUACAUACUUACAAGACAUUUAUUGCAUAGUCAAACCAUGGAUCGAGAAGAACAAGUCAAUAAGUCAAAUCAAGAUGUGCAUGUGUGGAGAAUGAAUGGUGAUAAUGGUGAAAAUAAUGGUGAAAGUCUAAUUCUACUGCUCUUUUGAGGGGGUACAUACCUUCCUUGCACUUGAGGCUUUUGAGGGGAAUGAGAUGCUCUAUAUUUUUAUUUUUCUUUUCUCUCAGGUGGGUAUCUUGUACCCCUAAUUCUACUGUCGGACACUUGUCUAUUUUUACCUCUCGUCUCACUUUUUCUCUUUUUUUCGAGGUUUCGGGCACUUGCCCCUUUUUAUUUCCUCAUAUUCACUUUUUUUCAGAGCACUCACCCUCCUGGAAUAAUGUAGUAAGUGGUAGUAACCAAAAUAUCUCGAGCAUUUAUUUCACGGGGAAUAACAGGGAUAGGAUAAUGUUUUUGGCUAUUCUCUCUUAGAUAGGAGUAGAAUAAUUUUGGGUGAAUCUGGAUAUGGAAAUGAGUGGAUGUAUGUGGAUGCGUACUUCCGGAGUAGAAGCAGCAUGUAUGAGUGAACGUGCAAGUGAAUCUUGAUUUUAACCACAUAAGAAGCUCCUAAUGGUCUACACAGCUUGACCACACUCAAUGCUCAUAAGCAGUAAAAAGUAAAUGUAUGGUUCAUAGUCUAAUAAACAUGUAUAUAUGGCUGUGGUAGGAUUUUAAACUCUCAUCAUACAGGAACUCAUCAUGCAACAUUUUAAAGAUUUUCAAAGAAAAAAUUCUCUAGAAUUCUAGCAUCUCUAGGAACAGAUAAACAACAGCUUAAUCUUCCUAUAUCAUAUCCGUUAAUGACUUAGACUUUAGAUCAAGUACUCUUCUCACAAGUUCAGGUUUAGAGCAAAUCUUAAUUAAUAACCGUCAUGCCUAAACUUGAGAGAGAUUUCAAUUUUGCGAACUAGUCAUGGCAGAGCAACUAUUCAUCAUUUCCAUGUGAGAGCUUAUCAUGAGGGUUCAUAUCAAACUUUAUUUAUUUAUUUAGCAAACUAAGCAAAGAUAUAUAUAAGCACAAAAUCUUUAUUUGGGUUUUUAUGAUUAUGCAUCUUUUUAUUGUUUGAGUAAAGUAUAAACGCAAAUAUAAACACUUAGCUAGAUAAAUGGGGGUGCUCUCCCCCAAGCUGGAUUUUGACGUAAUUUCUUCUGAUAUAGCUAGCAGGUGGCGGAGGUGUAUUUGAAUGUCGGCAGCACCCUGACAACGAUUAGGAUGUCCUCCGUCUGCUAGUCUUCUUUGAUCAUUGAAUUCUGUGAAGCUCAAAUAGACAACAAAGCUUUGUGGAACUAGUUAACAUAAAUAUCUAGCCUUUAUCAUGUUGAGCCUCCUCUUAUAAAUAUUACUCUCUUUGGUAGGAUCAUAAAUUUAUUUUUAUAUUUUAAUUUUUAUAGGACAGGAAUAUAUUUAUUUUAUUUUUACGCCACCAUAGUGAAUGUACUUAUGGGUUUUAUGCCAUGAGCAUACUCACAUGGGGCUUACUAUUUUUAACAUUUUUAUUUUCUUUUCAAGAUAGCAUGAUUAACUAACAAGCCAUUUAAUAAAAGUAAAUAAUUUAGGGGAAAAGGGAAUGCUGAAAGGAUAAAUAUGGAUAACUAUCGAUUUUACCUUUGGGCGAGGGUUCAAUGUUUUAAGUCUUCUGAACAAGACUUCUCGCCGUGUUCAUUCUUUAGGUGCAUCAUUUGAUUUAGGUGUGGACCUUGACGUCUGCACCUCUUGAUACGGUGUCACCCAUGUUCUUCGUUUGCCCAGCAGUUCGAAGUGCGGCGUUGGUAGCAUCCUGCUCAGUGUGUUUGUGCUCGUAGAUCUAGGUUCUUCACUUGGUGGAGUCUGAGAGUUGUAAAACUCCUCCAUAUUUUGCUCGAAGUAUACCUGCUCAUAGAGACAAGGCAGAGAUCAAGUGUAUGGGCCCCGUUGGUGGAAAACACCAACAGAACCAUAAGUGUAUUUGUUCUUCUCUAACCUUAAGCAUAGUGAGCAAGACAAAGUUGAUGGAUAAUAAGAUCAUGAGUGUAGCAUUUAAAACAUUUGUCAGAUCAGAUCGCUCAACCUAAUGGAAAGAUAAUCUAUCUAUACUUAUAUUUUUUCAUAUAUCUUCCAAAGAUUGCGUGUGCAAUAUUUUAGCUCAUAUGAUUAGGAGUGUGGGAUCACAAAGGUGGUAGGACAAAACAUACUGAAUCGAUUGGGUUGGUUAAUCUAGAGUUGUAAAUCAUACACGUUUGUCUCUUUUAUUAAUGUGAACGCUAGAACCAAGGAGAAGCUUAUAAAAGUGAUAGUCAAGUAUCUUAAGAUGUUAGCUUACUCGAAGAGUGAUGGUACAGUAUCACCUUGUGGAAGCUUUUCUUUCUUAGCGAUUGUGCAUUGUGUUUGUGGCACCCUCCAUGGAUCAUCUCUUGUGAGCUAUGCCUUCCUUGUGUAAAUUGUUAACCUUCAUGUCUCUCUCUCUUUGUCUCUAAUGUGAGUUUAUCUCAGGACUUCCUAGCUCGAUAUUGAAUGUUUUCCUGCAGGGGUUAGUCGAACAAAAUAUCCAAUAUCUACUAUAGCAUACUAUCGGCUCAAAAAUCAACCUAGACACCAUGUCUAAUUUGAUUUAGGAGAGCAUUUUAACCUAAG
rnacentral:lncRNA from 1 species